rnacentral:lncRNA from 1 species
UGUAUGCCGAGCUUAGUAAUGUGGGCUUGUAACCCAAAUGGGGGCAUUAAUGUGGUGGAAUGUUGGGCUGUACCAGAUGGUUGGGCUUGGUGGGCUAAUUUCUGACUUGCCCUAUCCAAGCUUAGAGUUGGAUCAUGUGGCCCAAUUGAAGAAAUGGACUACUUGAUUCGUAAAGUGGGGCGGAAUGCGUGAGGCUGGUUUCACAGAGCAACGAUAAGUUUCCGCUCUAAGCGGUGGAAGGAUAACGAGUCGGUGUUCUCUGAGUCCAGUAACGCCUGAUGGGUUGCUCCAAUUAAACCACCAUUUUUCUUUUUGGAAAGUUACGAUAAACCACAACUUUUUCUUUUGAUGGGCUGCUCCAAUUAAACCACCAUUUUUCUUUUUGGAAAGUUACGAUAAACCACAAUUUUUUCUUUUUCAUUUGGGGGGAGUUACGAUAGUAGAUAGUUAAACGUUGUCUCACAUUCAUGCGGAUAAAGUUGGUGCAUCAUACUUGUUUUUCCUUUCAUACUAGUAAUACAUUAAACAUUAUUUUCGUUGUUUUUUACCCUUCGAUUAAUUCACAAUUUUAUUGUUAUUUUUAGUAGACUAAAAUGACUUUAACGUAAGUGGAUUAUUGAUGAUUCAUAUACCAGAUUCCAACUCGUUUAUGACCGAGUCCAGUAACGCCUGAUGGGCUGCUCCAAUUAAACCACCACUUUUUUUUUUUGGGAAGUUACGAUAAACCACAACUUUUUCUUUUUCUUUUGGGGGGGGGGGGGAAGAGUUACGAUAGUAGAUAGUUAAACGUUGUCUCACACUCAUGCGGAUAAAGUUGGUGCAUCGUACUUGUUUUUUCCUUUCAUACUAGUAUACAUUAACAUUAUUUUCGUAGUUUUUUACCCUUCGAUUAUUUCACAAUUUUAUUGUUAUUUUUGGUAGACUAAAAUGACUUUGACGUAAAUGAAGAAAUAUGAUUAUUGAUGAUUCAUAUACCACAUUUCAACUCGUUUGUGAUCGAAAUAUAACUAUUUUUAUAUAAUCGAAAUCUGAAAUAAAAAGACAUUGAUUAGUGAGAAUUUAUAUAUAUAUUUGUUUCUUAUUUGAGAUAUAAGCUAAAUCAUAAUUAUCGGUAGAAGAAAUCGUUGCUAAUAUACUAGCAGAAUUAGAAACGGAAAUAUAGUUUAAGAAGUAAUAAAAUUGUGUUUUCUUUAGAUAUAUAUAUAUUAUAUUAUUUGGACAUAAAACAUAUUUGUUGUAUCUUUUACGACAUAUAUCGUAAGAUAUUAUGAUACAAAUAUAUAAAAUUAUGCUCCUAUUAUACGUAUUUAUUUGUUAACUUUUGUAAGGAUACUCGAUAAUAGAAAAUUUUGAAACGAAGACUUCUUCUGCGAUUCCUAUUUUCUCUAUAAGGGUCAUUUGAUCAUGGAAAAAUUAUAUGAAUUAAUACAUUUUUAAAAAUAAAUAUUGAUUUUAGCGAUACUUUUUGUUUAUUACUAUGUACUGUGAUAAAUUUGUAAUAUGUAUUAAAAGUGAAUUAUUUAUGCAAUAUAUUUGAAGUAUAAUUGUAUUUGAAAUAUAUUAUGUUCGUUUGGUAAAAAAUUAUUACAUUAUAUUAUAAGUGUAUUAAAAUAUGAGAUAAAUGUAUUAUCCACCAUUAAAACUUGUAUUAUAUUUGAAUAAUAAAUUUAUCUUUGUAAUAUGUAUUAGACUUGUAUUAUAAAUGAGUUAAAAAUGGUCAAGUAAAAAAAAUGUUAUUGCUAUAAAUGGUAAAUAUUUUUUUUAUUAUAAUAUAUUUACGUAAAUUUCCCUUUGAUGAUUAUAAUUGAUUUGAAAUCCAAUUUAGUGAGGAUUCUUUUAAUUGAUUAAAACUUAAACAUUAGUAAUUAGAAACUAAAGAAAAGUUUGAGAAAUUAUGUUUGCCUAGAUCUAAAUUCAUAAUUAGUAAAUAAGAUAAUCUUUAAUUAAAGAUCCAAUAAAAUACUUUAUUCUAUAUUUUAUUAUUUUUAUCCACUCAUUGAAUAAAGUUUAAACUUUUAUUUUUCUUUUUGCAAGUACCACAUCGAAAAUUUAAAUCAAACUUUGGUACUAUAUAUUGACCUGAUGGACUUUAUCUUAUCGCCGAGCUCAGUAGCGUGGGCUUAUAACCCGAGUGGGGGCAUUAAUGUGGUGGAAUGUUGGGUUGACCCAGAUGGUUGGGUUCGGUAGGCUUAUAGUCUGGCCUGCCCUCUCCAAGCAUGGAGUUGGAUCACGUGGCUUAGUCGAAAGACCAGGUUGCUUGAUUCCUAAAGUGGGGUGGACUGCGUGAGGCUGGUUUCACAGAGCAACGAACAGCUUCCGCUCUGUGCAGUGGAAGGAUAACGGGUCAGUGCUCAGCGAGUCCAGUUAACGCCUGAUGGGCUGCUCCAACUAAACCACCACUUUUUUUGCAGAGCAUAUAUUAUUUUGGCUCGAACUCUGUAUUUGUGCUUAAAAAGCCACUUAAUAUGUAUACAUACAUAGUUUAUCGAGAAUCCAAUAAGCUAUGUUUUCUAUAUCCAGAACUCAUUGACUCAAAAUUUUACGUUUAGACUCGGUAUGUGUGGUUAAAAAGCCACUUAAUUAUGUAAACAUACAGUUUAUCGAGAACCCAAUAAGCUAUGUUUUCUACAUCCAGAACUCAUUGACUCAAAAUUCUAGGCUCGAACUCUGUAUGUGUGGUUAAAAAACCACUUAAUAUGUAUACAUAUAUAGUUUAUCGAGAAUCCAAUAAGCUAUGUGUUCUACAUCGAGAACUCAGACUCAAAAAUCAAGCUCCGCCUCUGCGCUGGAGCAACUCAAAUAGACAACAAAAGCUGUCUAUUUAUAGCAUUUUAGUCCAUGAAGCCAAGAAUGGGAACAUGGAAAUCAAUAAUCUUAACAAAAGGGGCGUAUCGCUAGUCGCUUCUGGUCUACUUAACUUACCUUUUUCCACAGGUAUUUUUGCUGUUUCAGCUGAUGAUUUAUCUGAACUUUUGCUAGAUUGCAUUUCUUGAUCAAGUUCAUCCCACCCUCCGAAUCUAGAUACCUCUCGGUCAUCCUUACUAGCUGAAACGUCACUGUUGGACACCCAUGAUUGAUAGCCCGUCUUUCUCUUUCGUGUCUUGGAGCUUCCUCCUCUUCUCCAAAAGUUUGUCUUGCUUGAGUUGGGAGCAGCGCGUUGUCUCUUCUUAGCUGUACUCUUGCGCGUUGGUUUGUUUUGUAUCACGUCCAGUAUCUUUUGGAUUGCAAAGAAAAGCGUAGACUGUCCAAUGGGAAGGGCGAAUGCCAUAGCAAAAGCUUUAGCUCCUCCAGUAGAAAUCAAUACUAUUAGAAUUGGUAUUAACACAAAACCGUAGGAGCAGAAGACCUGCACUGGCCAAGAACGAUAACUUGUAAGUUGUUUGACGAAAAUCAUCUUACCUACGUUUCAAUUUCUACUCGAGAACGUUGUAGCAAGACUAGUCAAUAGUUAGAUAGCUAUAAUUAGGAAGUCAGUCGAAAAUGUAGUGAAAAGAAAGCUAUUGAAAGUAUAGACGAACACAUCGAGCAUAGCUCUUAAAUGAUUAUAUUAACAGAUUUAUCAAGAAUCAAAGAGCCUUUCAAGUCCAAAGCCUCGAGAUCCUGGUUAGUAGUACUGCAGUUAGAUAAUGCACGAUUUAUACUCAUAAGUUGCGGUGGAGCCAGGAUAUCGGACAUGGACAGUGGAUAGGGGAAACUUUCGGAUUUUGGAAGAUUUGAUUGGGCAUAAGACUGGAAGAAAGGCUUGGGCCAUUGGGCGGGAGGACGUUUGAGGACAAAUGGUAAUACUCAACCAAACGAUAUACAGGAAGAACGUCUGAAACUGAUGGAAGAUCUCAGAAGAAUAAUUAGCAUAGGAAACUAGUAAAAUGUUGAAGUUCUUGAGUUUUGAUACUGAUUCACUUCAACGGAAGUUACUUUGGAGCCUAUCAGAAACAACCUCUCUACCUUCACAAAGUAGGGGGGGUAAGGCCACGUACAGUCUACACGUUGUUUCAUAACGGAAAUCUUGGAACAAUCAACUGUUCUAUACUAAAUUCACUAAGUUAGAAUCAUGUACUUCAACAAUUUGAACUCAAAAGAACACAACCUAUCAUUUCAAGAAAACAUUAUACUAAAUUCACUUAAUUCUAAAUCAAGCUAAUGUAUCUAAAUACACAAAAGCAAUCUGGUUCAGUCUCAGCAUAAUCCUAAAGGCAUCACUUUACACUAAACAUCUUAUUUCAUGAAAAAAAUACAAAACAAAAUAACAACAUACUUCCAUCUUUCUCAAAGAAAAAUAAAAUGGAUUCAGGUUAAAAGUACAGAUUCCACAAAAACCUCAUCUUCCUUCAAUCCAAGAAGUACCUAAAAAUGUCAAAACUCCAUAUCCAUGCCAAAAAAAUCCAAACUUUAAGCUGAAAACCCAAAAUUCAAGUACCCCAAAAUGUCAAAACCCCACAUCCAUGCAAAAAAAUCCAAACUUUAAGCUCAAAACUCAAAAUUCAAGUACCCCAAAAUGUCAUAACCUCAUAUCCAUGCAAAAAAAUCCAAACUUUAAGCUGAAAACCCAAGAUUCAAGUACCCCAAAAUGUCAAAACUCCAUAUCCAUGCAAAAAAAAUAAUCCAAACUUUAAGUAGAAAACCCAAAACUCAAGUACCCAAAAUGCCAAAAAGAAACCAAACUUCACAGGAAAAAAAAACAGGAACACAAGUUUAUAAUUCAAGAAAUAAAAGGGGAGAAGCAAGAAAAGCCACUACCUUAAAGAUCCAAAUACUUUCAAUAUACUCAGCAAAAAAUUGAGCUCCUUGUUCCAAGAAUUCCUCCUCAUCAAGCUCCUCUUCCUCAUCUUCAAGAUUAUUAAAAUUCUGGUUCUUGAUGGACUCAGCAUUUGAGUCCCACUUACUAGAAGGCCUACUGCAGCAGAUGUGAAGGGGCUGCUGCUGCUUCUGCAGCAGAAGAUGAGAAGAGAGUGGAUUUAGAGGGUUUAAAGAAAUGGGUUUUUGAGUAAAGAAAAGAAGAGGUGAAGGGCUGGGGUUUAAGGGUAAGUGAAGAUGAAGAAGACCACCAUCACCCCUAUUGAUGGUGGUCUUCAGUCCAUUCCAUUGGCCAAUAUUACUCAUCACAUUAUCCUCUCAAAUAUAUGACUAUUUCAAUAAAUGAAUUGUAUAUAGUCCCCAAUAUUUGUGUUGUUUGGUUUUAACAUUUUAAAGUGAUGUAAAAUACAUGUCAUGAAUAUUCGAUAUUGAAGUUCUACUCUCUUUAGCGAAUGUUUCUUCAUACUCAAAAGAAACUUUAAAUUCGAAAUCUCUAAAUAUGGACAAAGGAAAGGAGAUGAUUGGCCAAACUUUAAAAUCUAACUCAAUUAGAAGACAUUGAAUAUCUCUAAAUAUAAUUUUCAUAGAGAGAACCUUAAACUAAACACUUACAUAUUCGCAUCCUUCGUUUCAAUUUAUUUAUUGUGUGUCAAAUCAAAAUUAGACGAGCAAAUGAUAGAAGUAUUUUAUAUUACCCUACUUUAUAUUCCCCUUUCCCAUCUAAUGAACAUAUACCAAUUGAAGUAGAUUAACUAAAUAAUUUUGUCAAAUCAAACUUGAUAGAAUUCAAUUAAUAGUAAAAAUGGAAAAACCAACUCUUUUCUUUUUCUUUCUUUUACCAUUAGUCUACAAAACAGAAACCAUUAAAAAGUACAAAAUGUUGAAUACAUAAUAUAUAAACACUUGCAUGUUUGUGGCUGGAAAUUUUCUUUUUUUUCUUCUUGAACCUUCACUUGAAAGAAAACCAACUAGUCUAUUUCAAUUUCUGAUGUACAUUUGAAGCCAUAUAUCAAUACAACGAAAUGUCAAACUUUGCAGAAACAGCAAUCCCAACUUUUCGACGACAUUUCCUCUUCUAUCAUGUUAGUAUUUUCUCAGCUCUCCUGAAGCCACCUUAAGCACAACGAUUUUUGCACUCUCUUGUAGCACGAAAAAGAUCAGUCAGUCUGUAAUGUCUAACGUAAGUACACAACCGGAAGUAAAAAUCCUCUCUUUGCCACCAGUGGCACACAUUCAACCAACUAUACAGCAAACCAUCAGCAACACACUCAACUUUGAAGCCACCAGUCAUUGUCCUGAUAUGUGUAUUUUCGUUACAGCCUGAAUAAUCGGAUGUGUUAGACAAACAAAAUGUUUCAGAGGAACAUCAAAAGAGCAUAAUCAAGAGGUAUAACCCUACUCUCUCAUGAAAAAAUGGUUUGACGGUGAUGAUAAAAGAUGACAGAACAUGACUCAGGACUGAAAUUAAAACAAAUGAAGAAUUGGAAUUCAUGCAACACGGUGGCACUUGAAUCAACUUUCCCGGGUGAAUUUGACUUUCGAGUUCCAUCAGUUUGGUACUUCCCUCCAAACUGUUCUUUGUUGUAUUUUCUAUUAUAGAUAGUUGUUUCGACAAAUCUCAGGGUUAUGUCAAAACACAAAUUGGUCCAUAGAUUGAAAAUAAAAUAGACAUAAAUCAUGUACUAUUUAGUCAUAUGUUUCCUCCUAUCAAGUAGAUCAACGAACAAAUAUCUAAAUCUAAGUCAACCACCCCCAAUCCAUAAGGGCCCUUCAUCCAAAAUCGGUUUCAAGAAGCAGGCUUUCAACUCAUAAGGAUGUAUGUGAAAGCAUAGGAAAGAAGCCAGAAGCAUCAAUAUGGCAACUAUUGACAGAACCAUGGAAAAGAAACAAGAUAAUUACCGAGUUUUACAACUACAACCAUCUGCUGACAUCAAUAGUUUCUAGCCUUCUAAAGCAUAUGUUGGGACCUGCAUCACAUUUGCAAAAUAACAGUGUCAUUAGCAGAAAUGAAUAUCCCACACCAAAACCCCCCAGGGCAUCAGUCAUGGACAAUUAUUAUUUUUUUGGUUAAAGAUUUUAGUUCUAGUUGUCUAUAAGAAACAACCUCUCUAACCCGUAAGGUAGGAGUAAGGUUUGCAUACAUCGCAGACCUCGCUUGUAGAAUUGCACUGGGCAUGUUGUUUUUGUUGUAUUACAGUUCUAGUUGACACAAAAUUAUGCAAAUAAACUUGAUGACUGGCUUCGGUUCCCAAAGGUGCAACCACAUCACUAGAGGAGUUGGUACUUGUCAAUUAACUGGAGUGUCCACAUCCGGAUACUCUCUUUCCGCCCUUGAUUCAUACAAAGCUAGCUCAAUCUUUGAACUACUAUUCUUCCCCAUUUCAUUUUCUGUCUGUUACCUUUAAUGCUUGUUAAGAGUGUAUGUGAUCAGUCAUGUUUCCGACUGAUCUUCAAAUCCCCACACCUUCCAACAACUUAAACUAAAGUAUAUUAAGAAAGAGAACUAAUGAUAUCAAAUACUCCUGACUGUACCUACCAACCAAUCAUCCCCCACCCCACCCCACCCCACCCCCCCACCCCAAAAAAAAUUCAAUUGGUGCAGCAGGAUCAAGUUGUUGCUCUACUAAAGUCAUGAUUUAUAGAAGUCCAACCAGAAUUAAGAUAAACUUUAAAAAGCUUUAGACUACCUCGAGCAUGUCUUCAUCAGGGGAACAGGAUACUGUAGAGUCCAAACCAUUUGAUUUAUCAAAUUGCAGGAUCCUCAAUUUUCCUUCCUGCACAAUUUAAUGUUAAAAAAAAGAAGACGAAUACUUUUGAGAAUAUGAACAAUUUUAUAGUUGUAACCAAAAAAUGAGAAACUCAUACAAUGUCUGCAUAACUACCUUAGUUCCAUAUACUAGGCCACCACCAACCAAAGGAUGGAAACAAGCAACGUUAACCUCAUCCUCUGCACUGGGAAGAACUCUCACAAGUUCCAUAUCCGAAACUCUAUAGACCUGAUUCAAAGACUCACAAUCUGAAUUAACUAGAGAAAACAAAUAUAUACACCGACAUUGUGAACAAACCAAAUUCAUUCUUCUUGCAGGUUCAACCAAAUAAUCUCAGUAAAAUGUGAGCGAAAGCAUAAUUCUCCCUUUUUAAGUUUUAUGAAGUUCAAAAACAAAGUGCAUCAACACAAAAGAAAUUAUUUUGACAUACUAGUAAACUAAUUGAAUUGGGCCUCUUCAACCUUAAAAGUGUCCUAAACACAUUGUCACUGCACUUGCAUAUCAAGCUAUAGUAGCUCCAGUUUAUCUAGCCCCAUUUUCAUCAACUUAAAUCCAGUCUUUCUAAAGUUAAACAUAUCCUGCAUCACUUUGCCUAGCCCACCCCAACUUGUUUUGGACCAACGUAUAGUAGUUGAGGUUGUACUUCUUCUUCCCUUUUUAAUAAGGAAAUGAGGUUGUGCUUCUAAAAUUAGUUUUUGGUUGCACUGCAAUUGAAAAUAGCCUCAACAAUCCAUUUAUGCCAUACUAUUUGACAGGUACAGGAGAUUAAAUUAGAUCAAUCAACAUGUCAUGUGACCGAUGACUGAUGUGAAGAAGAAAAUGGCAAUUUGAGUUUUCUGUACAAAGAGAAGAAAAACAUAGUAGCAUGAAAUCAAAGGUAAAUUCUUCAAAGUUGUGAAAUGUAAUUUAAAUUCAUCUAAUUUGUAAAUAGUGCACAACAUAUUCUCGUGCCAUAUCAAUUAUCAAACCUUCAUGGACAUACCAUAGUGAAACAUGGGUGACACAACAUGGGUCAGAAGGAAUUAUAUGGCUAACCCUCUGUGAUUAACUAGACUCUAGAACCAACUGUCCAUAACCUAGAUUGAUUGGCUCAGAGGUUAAGAAGUCAAAAACCCUUGCAUGUUUGCAAAGAGUAAAUGAAAUAUUUGAAGAACUUCUUAGAAAUGUAAGUGACAGAACAAAAACCUUAUCAGGUUUAAAACCAAACUUUUGAAACUUCCGUAUGUCAUAUAAUUAUGUCAAUCAUUUUCACGAUGUUCUAAAAUAAGAAGUGUGCUACCAUGACCCAGUCUUGGUGGUGGUGAAAAACUGACAUUCCAUAAGAAACCAGGAUAUAAUCAGGUACUCACCUCAAGAAUAGUGUAGACAGGUAGAGUUGUAUCUCCAUCGAUCACAAUACUUUUCAGAAGUGAUCCAUGGCGACGUCCAUAGGCAAGUAAAAGAUGCUCAGAAGUUGGAGAGAACUGCAUUUUCAAUAGAUGUGGAGCAACAAUCAGUUUCCCAUAUCAGAAAGAUAACAUUUCAGUCUAUAAGAGCAAUUAUUACUGCAAUUUAAAGGUGCAUUUCAUAAAAUUGCCAUUGUGAACAUCUCUUGACUAGUGAAAUCACUUGAGACACAUUUCUUUAUCCAGGAAAAAGUAGGUUCUUUUUGUGCAAAUAACAAUGCACAGAACGAUCUACAUUUAUAAUUAAACAGUAAGCAAAAUCAAAUAUAACGAAGUAUAGAAGUGAACGAAACAAGAUAAGGUACAACACCAACCCAUAGGAACUUUAAACAAAAAAAGAAAUUCUACUCUCUAAAGGAAGGAUCAAUAUUUGUGCCCAGGAUUUCUUAUUGAACAAGUGCUCAACCAGUUUUAAACUUCAUAUCCAAACAAAACAACGAGAGAGCACUUCCCCUUCAUUUUUGUUCUCAUCUAACAAUUCAUAUUUUGCUUUUACUUCCUCAAAGGAUUAAGACAAAAAUGCUACAACAAGAAAACCAUCUAUAGUUCAUACUCCCAGAAAACCAAAAAAUCUUACCACAAAACAUAAUUUAGGAUUAUAAACCAAUAUGUGCAGAGCCCGAGGAGUACUAACCUGAAUUGAAGUCAAACAAUGAGCAGCUCUAAUUAGUCGAGAUGCAAGCACCCUACCAAAACUGCAACAGUGAAAUAGAGUUCCCAAAUGACCACCAAACAAAGACAUGAAAAGAAACAAAGAAUGAAGGACAAAAAGAGUAGCAAGUGUAAGCAGAGAGGAAAAGGAACAAAGACAUUAGAAUUGGUAUUUACUUUGCCUCCUCCAAGGAAUAUAUACGUAGCUCAUACAUAACCGGGUGGGCUGCAAUUGGAUGUCUGGUAGGUGAAGUUGCAGCAUCGUGACGAAAUUGUCCAUGGAAACCAGGAUCAGCUUCCAUGCCAUGACUAAUACAAGCAACACAAGCUGCUAAAAAUCUUCCACAUGGUGAAAAGUGGGCACCCAUUUCACUGAAAUAAAUAAUGUAUAUCAUGUAAGCACUAAGGACAGUUAAUUGCACGUGAUGUCAGGUUUUACAAUGAAAUAACAAUUAGGAAUUGUCAAACAACGGUAAGAGGAGAAUCAUCAAUUAUCCCUUAGAGAAAGUUAGAUCAAGCAUCUAGAACAACAUGAGAACAGCUAAAUAGCCCAUUAUCCUUGAAGGCAUAUGAAAACCUCAAGCCAAAGCUUUGAAACAAUAGAAAUUAUCUCAUCUACAAAGCACAGCAUGUGGUAUCAUUAAGCGACAACAGAAAUUAUCUCACCUACAGAGCACAGCAUGUGGUAUAAUUAAGCGACAUUUUUCAGCAUCAAGCGGCGCACAUGGAACCUUAAUAUCAUAAGGCCACACUCUGAGUUUCACAGUACAAGGUAAUUCAGAAGAAGCUGCUGCAGUCAGGGAAGUAGCUAUCUCUGACUGGAACCGACUCAUAAGAGCUUGAGAAUCACUUUCAUUAUGUGCAAUGUUAAUGGGAACAGCACUAUCACCAGAUCCAGCAACAGGUAUUACUCUAGAGCGUGAAGAACGGUGCCGGGAACCAGAUCUUCCAGACCUUGGAUGAUUACCGUUUGAAAUGAUGGACGGAACUGCAGGACGAUGUUCUACUUCACCAUAAGCUGAUACAAUGUUUGUGGCACCACUAUGCUCAGAAUGAAUCGCUUGUCGGCCUGCUUGGCUUUGGCCAAUCAACCAUCCUUGCAAGAAUGGUAAGUCCCAGUAUGCAGGGUCACUGAAAGGAAAAAACUGAUUGUUUCUCUCCUCAGUCGGCGCAUCAGUCUCCAUAGGAUCACCAACAGGGUUAGAUGCAUUCUCUGUAUCCCUAACAGAGGAACUAGUCUGAGCUUCUUGCGCAGGAGAUAAAGUUGGCUCAACAGGGGACAAUAAAAGUUCAUACUGGCCAGAAGGAGUUGAGUAAGUGAGAAGUCUGACAGAGGCAGAAGUGUCUGCUCUGUUCUGUGUACUGUCAGAACCCAUGUCUGCAUUACUCUGCUGCAAAGGCAUUCUAGGAUCACCUCUAGCGAUUGAUGGCCAGAUCAUGAACGGUAGAGACAUGAUAGGCAAUUCAUUCGCUGAAGCAGAUCGAUAAGUGGAGUGAGCAUCUGUCAAAUACACAGUAGGAGGAGGAUACCGCAAGUUACCCAGAGAAGUUGUAAAUGUCAUUAAAGGAUCUGAUGAGUCCAGAUCAUUGACCUAAAAACAAGAGGGUUGAUAAGAUUUACAGGCAUUCAUAAGUUAAAACUCAAUGUAACAGCACCAGAAUGACACCUCAGCUGUUAAAAGAUAUGGGGCGCCAUGUGGGUGGAAAUGCACAGCACGAAGUGAACGUCUUGUCUUUAGUAUGAUAGCUGGUGAAGAUGCCUCCCCUCUUCUGUUGUAGUGCCACAUAUACAGCUACGAUAUAUUGAAACAUCGUCAUACAUCAGAACUUGCAACGAACAAACCACUAUGUAUUGCCAAAUUUCUUACCUUGUGCCCUGAAGCAACAGCGAGAACUUCCCCUUGGGCAUGGAAGGCAAUGGAUGCAAUAGGUCGGUCUGGAGGAUAAAAUUCCCAUAUAAUGUAUUAAUUAAACAAAAAAAAUGGUAAAGAGUAAUUAUUUUUGUUCAACCAUUAAGAUGUUACAGGUUAUUACAAAAAUCACGUGAUCCUAUACACUCGGCGGUUUUUGCAUCCCAUAAACGAACUUCAUGGUCCAAACUUCCACUUGCAACUAUCUCAGAGUAGAGUGGAUGGAAACGAACCUGCAGAAGUCCCAACCAUAAUGCUAAAUAUAAUUGAGGAAUGAGAUUCAAAGGCAAGAGAAGAAAUAUCAAUACAGCCAAGACGUGUGGAAAAAAAAAACACCAGAGGCUUUCAAAAUAGAACUACAGACAACAGAAAAAAGCUUCAUAAAGUUCAAUCCUCUUCCAUAAGUGUGAGGUUCAAAUGAAAUGAAUUAGGCUUAGACCUGUGAGCACACAUCAAACAUUUAUCUCUCUAUUUUUUAGAUAGAUACCAAUCAUUUAUCUGCAUUAAUAUUUUAACCAAAUAAGAUAGUUUAGCCAUCUUAGAAGAACAUCAAUAAGCAUUAAGUUAAAAGAAUAUAAUACUUCGACAUUUUGUAAAGCCAACUAUAUUGUCAAUCCAAAAUCUCAGCAUUUUAAUUGCCUAGUGGACUGGAAUAUAUUUCCCAAGUAGAUAAUCCAAGAAUUCAGCACAACUGUUUAAGAUGACUGAAGAUGUCAAAACAGUCUUACCACCCAAGGAGUCCUGCGAUGUCCACUUAACACCUUCAAGCAUUUCCCGCUUUGGCAGUCAAUUAUCUUUACUGUGUGAUCUCCACUGACACCAUGGUAACAGAAUACGUCAACGAACUAGAUACAAGCCAAAAGAAAAAAUGGACAGCACGGAAAAAGUGGAAUGUUUGCCUUUGUUCUCAAUUCAUGAAUAUUGACAACGGAUUGCAUUUUUUUUUCCUUUUUUAUGAUAUGAAUAUAGUCACUGAGGAUUUAGAAAUGUGUGUAUAAUGAAUACUUGGACUCAAAAGAUAUUGUUAGAUAAACAAUUUCAGAUCUGAGCAGCGAGACACUACAAUGCAUAACAUAACAGAUUGUACAUGUCGAUGUAUUAAAAGAGAGACUGACUGAGUAGAAGCAAGUGUCUUCCCAUCAGGACUGAAUGCCGCAGCAAUUGUAGACCUAGGCGGAGGCAACAGUGGACAAUACUUAGCUGAAAAAUGUCUCAAUGAUUCUGCCUCUACCCUGAUAAAAUUAAACUAGCCGAAGUCAGAAAGCAAAAUGAAGAUUUGCAACUAUAUUAACUUCAUGGGAAAGAGAAAAGCUGACAAAACAUAACUACCAUGAUAUAAGACCCCGUCUCGGGUCUCUUGCUACUUGGCUUUUUAACUUCUCAUAGGAAUGAGCACAAUAUUUAGAAUUCUCAUCCCAUAACUUCUUAGAACUACGUUUAGCUCGAGGAGAUACCUCCCUCUUCGUUAGUAGCUGAAAGACAUUACCACAUCUGGCAAACAAAAUAAACCACCUCAGCAACCAAAAUACAACCUUAUUUGUGCAAUCUAAUUUACAAACUUCGCACAUAACCACAAAAGUUAAUCUUUGAGAAAACACUAACAACACUUACCCAUGUGUAUCAUAAACAUAUCUUUUUUUUACAUAGUAAACGCCACCAUCCCACCCCACACCAGAACCCACUCAAGGCGAGAAGUUGAAGGUCAUUUCCGCUAUGCUACUCCGCAAUUACAAUAUAAUUAAAUACAACAUUAAACAAUUAAAAACUGAUAUAUUUCCCAUCUUUGCAAAAAUAGUUUCAAACUAAACUCACCCCAAUUAAAGCUUACGAUCAAUCAUUUUAUGCAAAGACAUAUUCCAACAGCAACCAUAUCAGAAGCAUUACAAUUAUCCAUAUCACCAUGAACCCUUUUAAGCUAACAAUAAGUAUGCCAACAUAACAGAUAAAACUCACAUAUUUUUUGGUUAAGAUUUUUAAUUAAACCAAAAAAAAAGAAGUUGUUUUCAGCCUCAACCCUUCUCUGCUUAAAUACCAAACUUAGUUCACCAGACAAAACUCCAACUGGAGGUCUGCCUCUGAGUUUAUAAUAUUGUGUAAUACAGUUUCAUUAAUUAAAAGAUGCAAAUAUCAUAAUUAUAUUAACUCAGAUAAAUCAUGAAUUUCCAAUUCUAAAACCAAUCAAAGCCUCUUAAUCUAGCAUCGAAUAAGCUGAAACUAAACUAAAUUUCAGAUCUUUGAAUGACAUUAAUCAAAAUCAAUAAAAAUUCAAUCUUUAGGGUUUCAGGAUCAAAACUAUGACCUGUUUUUGCAAUUAGGGUUUUGCUCAAUCGGAAGAGCAGGCGAAUUCCAUCCCGGCGGCGGCGGCGGCGGCGGUACAUGAAUCGGAUUUGACGUAGAUGAAUCACUACUUGAAUUCUCCGGCCAAAGAGAUCCCCUCAUAAUUCUAUCCCCACAAACGAAUACCUCAUGCCCCAAUAUUUCCCGUCAUUUCCAAUGGAACUUUUCCGGCGAAAUAUUAAAAAAUCGAUAAAAUUAUCCGAAAAUGCCCUCAAAUUUGGUGGAAUUUACACCGGGAAAUAUAGAGGGAUGGAGGAUAUAGAGAUCUUGUAGAAGGGCAAAAUGGGAAGAAAAAAAAAUUUAGGGGAAAAUGAGAAAAAUGAAGAAGACGACGGAAGGUAUUUUUUUUUUUGAGAGUUUGGAGGAUUUUUCCGGCAUCGGACAGUAAUAUGUUUACUUUAAUGUAAAAUGACAAAAAUAACCUUGGCGCGUGAGGUACAAAUAUUGUGAUUUGUUAUUAAUAAAAAUGAAAUUUAUUUUUAUUUGUAGAUGUUUGAUUUAUUAAACUAAUAAAAAAAUAAAUUAAAGAAAAAAUAUUUAUAAAUGAGGAUAAUAUAAAAUUUGUGUUUUGGUUUUCUAAAAGAUUGAUUAGGGUUAACUUUUAACUGAUAUUUUAUAUGGAAUGGAGAAUAUUUUUCUUCGCUUUUUUUUAGUUGUCAUGAUAAGCUCUGUUAUAAUCUCUAAUAAAGAUUAAAAAAAGUUGUUUAAUCAAUAUAUGAUUAUUAAAUUUUUAAUCUUUGUUAAUAUAUAUGUCUUUUAAACUCUAAAAUAAUUAAUGUUAUAGGUAUAGUUAGAAAACAAUAACUAAUUUUUUCUUUGAUUUGUUUGAAUUGGCAACUAUUUGAAAUAAAUAUGUUUAGUAUACAUGACAACUGAAAAGAACGGAGAAAUGUAUUAUUAUAAUUAGAAGUAUUCAACAUCGAUUGUAACUCAUAAGUCAAUCGCACGAUUGACUUAUUGGCUUAUUGAUAUUAGUGUUUUUCCAUAAUAUAUAAUUAUAUAUAAUCAAAAUCUAAGGUCGUACCGCAAAAAAAGCUUGAAAACAUAUUUUUAACUAUUAUAUUAUUAUUAAUUUAUAUUCUUUUUUGUAAUUAGAAGAAUGUUAUAAUUUAACUGUAUUUAAAAUAGGAAAACAAUUUAUUUUUACGUUAUUAUCAUAAAAAAGGAUACAAUUCGCCAAUACAAGUGUUAUUCAUUAUGAAACUAAUCGAUAUUUUAUAAAUUAACUAGCAAAUUAGUAAAUUUAAAAAUUAAUAUCCAGUAAAUGAAUUCGAUAAGGGCCUAAUUGUAAUAUGAUAUUCAUAGUCCUAAAAUAGAAAAUUUUAUCUAGUACUAUAUAGGAUAACCUAAUCCUUUUUUAAGUCUGAAAAUAUUAUUCAUUAUCUCUAAAAUUUAUUAAGUCAUGCUAGUCGAUAUUUUUUUUUUUAAUUUGCAGAACAUUGUUUAUCUCAUUUAAAUGACUUGUAUGUCUCAAUUAAAAAAAAGGUAACUAGUACAAAAAUUAAAAAAUAAACUCGAGAGUGUACUUAAUUCUCAUUAAAAAAAAAUUACAUUAUUUAAAGAGAAAAAAAUUAGACUCAAACAAUUAUGUAUUUGAAUAAUAAAUCCGUCUUUGCUUCAAUUUAACAAUGGUUGUCUCAAUUUUCUGUUAGUUAUAAAUAGAAAUAAGAUAAAUUUACCAUUUUUUUUUCAAAUUUAACUCAAACAGUCGUCUACUUAAUUGCUUAGAUUGUUAUAAAAUUUAAAAUUGUUAAAAAGGGUCUGUUCAACCUCAUCCGGCUCAAUUCUUACGGGCUAAUGACUUUGAAGGAUUAGGAUUGACUGACCCUUCAUUUGGAAGGACCUAAUUAAAAAGGGUUGAGGGUUAGGGCGGGCGAGAUAGCUUCUUCUUCGUUUUUUUCAAAAGUUUUAUAAUAUUAAAAAAACGAAAGACUUCUAUAUCAAAUAUGACAAAAAAAAAGGUGUUGUUUCAACAACACUAGCAAAAAAUAUAGAGUAAUUAAAUUAAUAUGUAUCUAGGAUACUAUAUAUGCGAGACGCAUGUAUCUUGUGUAAUAUGUUUCAUAUACGCGAGUGAGAUAAGAGAGUGGCAAGCGAGAUGAGAGGGAGACGAGGGUGUGAUAUUUGUCUAUGUAUCCUAGAUACAUGUGACUCCACUUUUACAGAGUAUUUCUAAAACAAAUUAACUUAUUUUGAGUCCAUAUUCCUAAGAUACAAAUAUCUAGACGUACAAAAAUCUGAUAAGAUUCAUAAAAUUACAGCUUAUAUACAUUUAAGUAAUUAACUCUAUACUAGUGGAAUUAUUUUAAGUUACCCCUGAAAUAAAUAAUUUUGAUUCAUGGGCUAACUCUCAUCUGAUUCCGCUCAAGCCUCAAGGGCCAAAAACUUGUAUGUAUUGAGCUUAUAAGCCAUACUUCUAAAUAAACUUUAAUUUUUUUUAUCCCAAUCCUGCUCCAACAAAUAAGUUGGGUUGGCUCGAUAUGGAUUAAGUCUAUUUUGACGGCUCUAAUAAAAUUAAUAAAUAUAUGAUAUAUGUAUAAAAUGUAUACAUAAUUAUGUAUUAUUUUCGUAUAUAUAUAUAUGUAUAUCAACUCGGAAAAAAAAACUGCAAAUUCAAGAUUGUAAAGUUUUUUUCUUUUAUAUUAUUAUUGAUAUUAUUUCUAGUUUCUAUUAGGUGAAUAUAAAUAAUAAAUAAAUUCAAUUAUUAGAUUCCUUUGGUAUGUUCCAUAUCCAAUAAUCCAUUGAUUGGAUAUCCACUGAAAAAUCAUUAUCCAUUAAAUCAAAAUUAGAUAAACUUUCUUAUAUGGCGGUCAAAAUUAGCAAUUGGUCCACCUUUGACCAUUAUGUAUGCAAUGACAUAAUUAAAAAAUUCAAAGAAUUCACGUUAAAAUAUUUAUUAAUUUACGAUAUUAAAACUCUCGCAAAGUUUAUGUGUCUUAUUAAAAAACAAACUUUUUUUAAUAAGGUAAUUAUGUAUUUUCUUAGUUAGAAAUAAAAACAUCUCUCUCGAAAAAUAUUUUAUCCUUUUGUGGAUUAGUUUAACAAGUUUUUAUUUUUUAAAUAAAUUUAUCUCAUGUGAUUACAAUUUUAUCGAUUUGAUGAGUUUUUAAAUAUCAAAUGCCUAAAACCAAAAUCAUUAAUUAAUGACAUGAUAUAUGUUAUUCUCUUCGUCUAAUAAUAAUUGUAUAUUGAAGUAUAUAUUUAAAAUAGUUGUAUAACAAUAAUUGUUUAAUUUAGAAAAUUAAGAGAUGAUUUAUUAUUGGGAAAAUUGUAUACAAUAGCAAACUAAUAACCUAAAUUAAAUGGAAUAGCUAGGGUUUGAUUUAAUUGUGCUCCAUAGCAAACAUUAACUAAAAUUUACCAGCGUCUCUCUCCCAAAAAUCUCGCUCGCCACUCUCCAUUCUCGUUCGCCUCUCUCGCUUUAUACACAGAAGUGUAUAAUUCUGUUUCUGUUUUGUAUAAAGCGAGAGAAAAUUGUUUAUACACAUGAAAAAAUGUAUAUCUUCGUGUUAUACACUUAAUUAUACAAUUUACAAACAUUUUACUUCAAAUAUUGCAGAGAAAAAGGCCAACGAAUUAUACAAUUGCAGUGAAAUACAAUUUUCUCUAGCUUUAUACAACAGAAGUGUAUAUAUUGUGUUUCUGUUUUUGUAUAAAGUGAGAAAAACAUAUAUCUUCUUGCUAUACACUUAUAAUUAUGCAAUAUACAUACAUUUUAAUUCGAUUCAACUGUAUGCAAAAUAAAUUAUACAAUUGCAGUGAAAUAGGCCAGCGAAUUAUACAAUUUAGGCCAGCGAAUUAUACAAUUGUAUAUGUAUAGUAAAUUAUACAGUUUUAUGUUUGCUAUGGAGCGCAAUUAUGCAAAGUUUGCUAUAACAUAUAAAUAUGAAUUUUUUGUUUGCUAUAUGUGAAAGUUACCCUUUAUUAUUUGUGUUCUAUUUUAUUCUUACUAUUCAAAAUUACUUAUCACUGACAUAUUUUUUAAAGCACUAAAUUUAAUAAAAUCAAAAAAUAAUAUAAUGAUAUUAUCUUUUUAUUUAUUAUUUCUCAAAGAAUGUACAUAAUUAAUGGUAGACAACUAUUGUAAUUUAGACUAAAUUUUUAAGUUAAAAAUGAAACUUAACACAUUAUUUUUAAGUUUCACAUACAAUAUAGAAGGUUUAAGCGUAUUUUUUUUUAACCAAAAUAUCCCUUCUUUUAAUGUAUCUCAAUUGUGUUUUAUUAAUAGAUAUAUCUCUUUUUAAUGAAAUUAUUAUAUAAUAUAUGGAGAAUUUUAACUUAAUAGACGGUAUUGAUUAUUUAUCAAUAUGAAUAGCGAUAGCGCUUGAUUCAUUCAAGUUUAAUUUAUUCGUUUAAGAUUAUAGAGGUUCAAUUUUACGAAUUUAAUAAUAUUUAAUUUAAAUUUUUAAAAAAUAAUAUAGAUUUUAGUAAUUUUUUAAUCAAAUAACUUAAGAAAUGUUAUUCUCUUUUAAAAUCAUUUAAUUGCACUAGAGUAUAAACCUGAAAAAAUUUUAAUAUGACUCGAUUCAUAUCGAUCAACAAAUGAAUAUAUUUUUUUUAAUUAAAAUUCCAAAAGAUAACAUCUUAUAAUUCCAUUAAAUUAUAAGACGUUUUAAAUUCGAAAUCUAAUGUUAAAACAAUUAAUAUCCCAAUAGAUGAUACAAACGAGUAUAUUUUUAGGGAAAAUUGUAUAUAAUAGCAAACUAAUAACCUAAAUUAAAUGGAAUAGCUAGGAUUUGAUUUAAUUGUGCUCCAUAGCAAACAUCAGCUAAAAUUUGCCAGCGUCUCUCUCCCAAAAAUCUCGCCACACUCUAUUCUCGCUCGCCUCUCUCGCUUUAUACACAGAAGUGUAUAAUUCUGUUUCUGUUUUGUAUAAAGCGAGAGAAAAUUGUACAUACACAUGCAAAAAUGUAUAUCUUCGUGUUAUACACUUAAUUAUACAAUUUACAAACAUUUUACUUCAAAUAUUGCAGAGAAAAAGACCAACGAAUUAUACAAUUGCGAAUUAUACAAUUGCAGUGAAAUACAGUUAUCUCCAGCUUUAUACAACAGAAAUGUAUAUAUUGUGUUUCUGUUUUUGUAUAAAGCGAGAAAAAGAUAUAUCUUCUUGCUAUACACUUAUAAUUAUGCAAUAUACAUACAUUUUAAUUCGAUUCAACUGUAUGCAAAACAAAUUAUACAAUUGCAGCGAAAUAGGCCAGCAAAUUAUACAAUUUAGAACAGCGAAUUAUACAAUUAUAUAUGUAUAGCAAAUUAUACAGUUUUAUGUUUGCUAUGGAGCGCAAUUAUGCAAAGUUUGCUAUAACAUACAAAUAUGAAUUUUUUGUUUGUUAUAUGUGAAAAUUCAAAAAUUAAUACUCAGAACAAAUUUUGAAUUCAAUAUGAUUAUAUUAUAGUAAUAGUAAAAUAAAAGUGAUAAAUUGAAAAUAUUUCUAAUGCAUUUUAUGAUAUUUCCUUUCUUUUUCCAUAGUCAAUAUCAAUUAUUUUCGAGGACCACCAAUAAAUAAUAAAUAAAUUAAAAAGUGUAAAAUAAUGUGAUUAAUAUAACUGAAAGAAAAAAUAGAAAAAAAAAAGAGAGAUAUAUAUGCCAAAUUUUACGUGGCUCCUUUUAAUAAAUUCACCGUCCAAAAACCACCACGUGUCACAUCAAAAUUAUCUUCUUUACUUUCUUCCAAAAAUAAUUUAUAUUUUACGUUUCGUGUACCUAAAUGUAACCAUAAAAAAAAAAAAAAAAAGGGACAAAAUACUUCGUUUUCCAUUUUCACCGGCACCUUAUUCUUUAUGCCACGUGUCCAAUGACGAAUAGUAAAUUUUUUUAAAAUAAUAAUGCCUAAUUGAAGAAGAGAUGACAAUUAAAUGAAAAUAUUAUUAUACUUUUAUUUAGUCAAUUAACACUAUUGGAAAGUAACGUCGAUAACAAUAAUAAUAUAUUCAGUAUUAUAUUAUUGAGUUUUUUUUAAAAAAAAUUUAGACUUUUAUAUCAAAGAUAUAUGAUGAUUGAUUAAAAAACAAUAACAAAUGGUUAUUAAAUAUUAUUAUAAUUAAAUUAUAUAAAUAAAAUAUAAUAGAAGAGAAAAAAAUAAGAGUAAUAUUAAGCCCCGGACAAAACAAGACAACAAGUCCAUACACUCCCGAGUCUCAUCUAUUAACCUUUUAACAUAGUUAAUAUCUUACACGCUUUACUAUUUAGGUAUACGUCUUUGAUAAAUUGUAAUAUUAUCGUGUUUUGUUUAAUUACUUCAUAAAUUACUAUUUUUUCCGCCUAAGUACUCUACUUUUUUUGAAUUCGUUCAUAAUCUAGACCUUUCAUAUCUCCAUAUCGAUGCAUUCGUGUAUCUGCUCAUCACAUACUCCAGCCAUCUCGAUAUUAUUUUCCGUAUCUUAUUUUCCUCCGACUCUAUGAAGUUAAAAUCAAAUCUUUCUGUUAACUUUCUCAAUUUAUUCGUGAAUAAUAAUUCACGGACGUGAAGUAAGUAACUCUAAAACACCUUAUCGCUCCAUUACUCUUCCCAUACUUGAGCUACAUGAACCUUCACGCGUCUCCAAAUAUCCACCGUCCAUUUCACGUGAUCAAAAGCAAUCUUAACCGUCGCCUCCGCCAUCGCUCGUUCUUCGCCACGUGUAGUUACUUACACGUGUCAUUAAUUUAACGGUCCUAUUUAUCUUUAUAUAUCUUAUUAUCUAGAGUUUCUAUUUUUUAUUUUUACUUGUAUACUCUAUAAAUAAUCCACAAUUUCAACUCCUCCUUCUCCAUUUUUCUCCAUCAAUUUGGUGAACAAAACAAAAAAAAAAAUUAAAAAAAUUCAUCAUUUUUAAUCUGCAAAAAAAAAAAUUAGUUAUAAUAUUAUUAUUAUUAUGGCAAUGAGUCUGCCACACCAGAUCGGUGCCUUAUCAGGAACAUCGCUCACGGCGGAAACCGGUGGAGUUUCAUGCGAAGUUCCGGCGAAGGGGAGUUCAGCUACAUCAGCUAUGUGGAGAACACCGAUGACGAAUUUAAAAGUAUCGGUGCAAAAAACAGGAAAUGAAAUUGACAGGGUGUCGCCGUCGCCGUCGCCGCCGAUGAGUCCGAUGAUGGGAGGAGGAAUGCGACCGGAUUUAUCGGUAGCGUGUCAAGCGUUGAUGGAGGCUCAGGUAGAGGAGGUAGUUGAGAGAGAAUAUAAGGUUAGGAAUUCGUCGGAGAAAGAGAAAGGUGUUCCGGUGUUUGUUAUGAUGCCGUUGGAUAGUGUGAAAACGGAUCAUACUGUGAAUAGAAAAAAGGCGAUGAAUGCGAGUUUACAGGCGUUGAAAAGCGCCGGUGUGGAAGGGAUUAUGAUGGAUGUGUGGUGGGGAUUGGUGGAGAGAGAUGCACCGGGAGAGUAUAAUUGGGGCGGUUAUGCUGAGCUUAUGGAAAUGGCGAAAAAACAUGGACUCAAAGUUCAAGCUGUGAUGUCUUUCCAUCAAUGCGGUGGUAACGUCGGUGAUUCCUGCACGUAUGUAUAUUUUCUCCGAUGCUAUUUUUAAUUCGUUUUAACUGCAAAUUUGUGAUUACCAGAUUCAAAAUCUAGAUCUGUUAUAAUGAAUACCGUCAAAUCAAACAUGAUAUAACUCGCAUCUCAAAAGCUAAUUCGAGAUAUUUUCACAUCGGAUGUGGCCUGACUAUCAUAACAUGUCAAAUUAGUAUUUUAUCGUAGUUUAACCUCACAAAAAGCUAACUUAAAAGGGAGAAGCAUUGCUCGAAACGAGUGGAGAGAUAUCAUUCCUCGUCGAGGUGGUAAAUCUCUUCAACAAAUACUUUUAGAUAAAAGAUUCAUAGGAUCUGGAAAAGAUUAAAGAAGAAAGUUCAAAAAAAGGUUAGUGGAUAGUGAGAAUAUGCUCCUUUAUAUGUGUGCUAAAUGAACUAUUUAAAGUAACUAUAUUUUAUCUGGAAAGAUAAAUGACUUUAUAAUAGAUUGGAAUCAACCUGAAUAGCAUAAAAUGGAAUAUGGAAGAUUCAUGAAUAAUUCAAUUAUCUUUGUUUAAUUUUCAUUCGAGUUCUGUUAUGCGUUUUGAUUUCUACUAAUCGCGAUGUAUAGGCGUUGCUUAAGUAGAUUUUUGAAAUUUCAGGAUCCCUCUUCCGAGGUGGGUUGUUGAGGAGAUGGAGAAGGAUCCAGAUCUUGCAUACACAGAUCAGUGGGGAAGGAGGAAUUUUGAAUAUGUAUCGCUUGGUUGCGAUACACUUCCAGUUCUUAAAGGAAGGACUCCUGUUCAAUGCUAUUCUGAUUUCAUGAGAGGGUUUAGAGAUAGAUUUGAGAAUCUCUUAGGUGAUACCAUUGUGGUAAGUGCUAUGUUUUUUUCGAAUUUUUGAUCGAAGAGUAGAAGACUCACUUUUUUAAUCCAAAUGACGUGUGAUAUAGGAAAUUCAAGUCGGGAUGGGUCCAGCUGGUGAGCUCCGUUAUCCAUCCUAUCCCGAAAAAGAUGGAAUAUGGAAGUUCCCUGGAAUCGGUGCUUUUCAGUGUUAUGAUAAGGUAUAAAGCAAGUUCUGUUUUCUAUGGUGUGUUUUAGUGUUUAACGUCGUCAUUAUUACUGAUGAUUUGUUCUGUUAAAUGUAUUGUAUCGCGUUGCAGUACAUGAUCGGUAGCUUACAGGGUGCAGCGGAAGCAUUUGGUAAGCCUGAAUGGGGACACACCGGUCCAACCGAUGCUGGUGAGUACAACAAUUGGCCAGAAGAUACAAACUUUUUCAAGAAGGAAGGUGGUGGAUGGGAUAGUCAAUACGGGGAGUUCUUCCUCACUUGGUAUUCUCAAAUGCUUUUGAACCAUGGCGAGAGGAUACUGCAAUCAUCCAAGGCGAUAUUCGAGGACAAAGGUGUGAAGAUUUCAGUUAAGAUUGCAGGUAUCCACUGGCACUAUGGAACAAGGUCCCAUGCCCCUGAGUUGACUGCUGGAUACUACAACACUCGUAACCGAGAUGGUUACCUUCCCAUCGCCCAAAUGCUUGCCCGCCACGGUGCAGUUUUCAACUUCACAUGUGUUGAAAUGCGUGACCACGAGCAGCCACAAGAUGCACAAUGUGCACCUGAGAAGUUGGUUAGGCAGGUGGCGUUAGCAACUCAGGAAGCUCAAGUUCCACUUGCUGGGGAGAAUGCAUUGCCACGAUACGAUGAUUAUGCUCAUGAACAGAUCCUUCAAGCGUCCUCGUUGAGCAUCAACGAUCAAUCAGGUGAUAGAGAGAUGAGCGCGUUUACAUACUUGAGGAUGAAUCCUGACUUAUUCCAUCCUGAUAACUGGAGACGAUUCGUUGCCUUUGUGAAGAAAAUGAAAGAAGGAAAAGACGCUAACAAAUGCCGCGAACAGGUAGAGAGGGAAGCAGAGCAUUUCGUUCAUAUAACUCAGCCGUUAGUACAAGAAGCUGCAGUAGCCCUAAUGCACUAAGCAAAUCGUUGUCAAAUAGUACUGUUUUAAUUUGAUCCUUUUAGCUAACAUGAAGUUUUUCAACAUGUUACCUGGAUCUUAUAGCUCGUUAUCGUUGUUCUUAAAUGUUUGUAAAACUGUUCAUCGUGUAGUUUUUUUAAAGCUAGACAUUAUGUCUUAAUGAAAUGAUACAUAAUUCAGUAGUAAAUACACCUCUUCAAUCCAAAUAUCACAUAUAUGAUUCUUCGUUCAUUUGUUGACUGGUUGAUGUUCGUUCGUUCUUAAUUUUAAAAUAACUGGAGAAUCAAAGAUACGUCUUUUUAUACUUAUUAUAAAAAUUUAAAUUAAUCGAGACGGUAAAAAGUUUAACAUUGUUGAUUGUUACAUGAUUUUCCUAUACUUUGGUAUGACAUUUUUUUAUAUGUCAACCCAUACCUUCUAAGCACAUGAUACGUGCACAAACUCGAGAAUUUAUUUUGUACUUUGCUUUAAGUAAUGGCAAGUAUUCAUGUCCAUAAGGUCUUCAUGUGCUAGUGAAGUCUCUUUUACUUUAAAAAAAUCGUUACGUUGCUAUCGGAGAUGAAUUCAAAAUUUUAAUUUUUACAAUCUAUUAUUUGUAUUAAUCUAACGUGUUUUACUACACAUUAAAGCCAAAAUUUCUAGAUAAACUCACUCGUUACAUUAUAAAUCUGCAUUGAUAGUGAUUGUUGUUAAAUAUGAUACGUCUGUCUAAACGUCACAUAUUAUGUUUAAAAAAUCUAUUUUUUGUUACUUAAUAUCGUGUCUAAGUUUUGUGGCCAAGAAGAGUCAUAAAAAAGUGUUUCACACGGAUUUCCAUUAUAAAGUAAUAAGACAAUUUAUAAUAGCUGACUUUUAAUUUUAUUUCACACGACUCUUAUGCACAAAAUUAUAAAAAUCGUUUUUUUCCCCGUAAAUAUACAUACACACUAUUUCAACGUUUAAUUAUAUUAACUUUUUUUUUAUUUUCUUAAAUUUCGUAUUGAAUCGUCGUCACAUACAUGCAUAUAAAGUAAAGUAGAAGUGGACAUUAAUGUUCAAUAAGAUGGUUAAGGACCAUGUAAAAGUUAGGUAUAAAUUUUUUUUCCUUUUGUUUUGAUUUAUUGUGGAUGAGAGGGUCUGAAUAUUCUAGUGUAUGUUAAAAAGAUGCCACUUUAAUCACAUAAUUUAAUUUUGAUAAUGAAAAAUUAAAGCAAAAUUUUUAUAAUAUGACUUAAUCAUAAGAAUUUUUAUAUAUUUUAUUUUGUUAAAUAUUAUAAUUUAUAAUAUCUUUUACAUACUUUUAAAAUACAUAACAGAUAAUAAUUAAAAUAGAGAGACUAUUAAAUUUUCAAAAAUACACAAUUUUUUUGAUAUAAUAUACACAGAUUGAAUUAUAAGAUAUAAUUUUUUUAAUUAAUGUAGUUUGAUCAAUAAGUUAUGAAAAUAAUAUCUUAAAGAAAUAUAAAGUAUAAUAAGUAAAUUUUUAUGAUCCAAUUCUCACGCAUAGCGAGAACUUAAUAUUCUGUCCCUUUUUUGUUUUACAAUUAAAAUUAUAAUUGUCAUUACCAAAGUUUGUAUUAAUUAACCACACGAAAACCAAGUCCAAUGCAGAAAAAAAUGGAUCAUCAAUCAAAUAAACCAAUAAACUCUAUAAAUAGGUCUAAUUAACCUAUAAGAUACUCAAAAAAUAUAUAAUAUAUCAAAGGUUAAAAAAACCAUUUUUUUCUACUAUUAUUUUAUUAUAAAUAAAUUCUUUAAAAUCAAUAAUCAAAAUGUCAAAUGCUCAACAAGCCGGUGAAUACCACGGCCAAGCUCAGGUAAUACUAUAAUAAAUAUUUGUUACGAAUCAAAAUUAUUUUUAUAUUAUCUAGACUUAUAGUCUAGUAAUAUCAAAAUAACGUAACCUAUCAAGCCACGAUCCCAUGUGGUGCAAAAUUAGAGUCAUCAUUAUUAUUAUUAUUGUUAUUAUUCUUUAGAAUAUCGACUUAAAUUCUAAUCGUAUCAGUAAUAAUACUUUUUAUAUAAUAGGUGUGAAAUUUUUUUUCCAAUUCUCGUUUUCCCUUUCCUUCGAUCUUUUUUUGAAUAUAAGAAAAUCAAUUCAAAAUUUAAAUUUAACGAAUAAUAAAUGAAACAGGCUAAGACCAAACAACUAGCAGAGUCAGCAAGAAAUACAGCACAUUCAUUGGCUGAUAAGGCUGACAAUGCUACCCAAAAUGCUCAACAAUCUGUUCAAGAAAACAAAGAUCAACUCAACCCUGGAUUUCUUCAACAGGUAAUAUAUUAUCGAAAUUUCGUUAAGAACGUUCAAAAUUUAAAAAUAUAUAUGUAAAAAGUAAUUGUCGCAAAGUGUAACUUAACCAAGAUAAGUACAUGUUAGCUACCUGACAUAAAAAGUGAAAAUAUAAAAACAGUAUAGAAGGUCUCUAAAUUAUCAGUAUAUAUAAAUUAAAUUGCUUGAAAAAUUAUUAACACAUUUUAUACUUUUCACUUUUUUAUUUUCCAAAUUAAUGAUACUAUGUCUAAUAAUUCUCUUAUUUUAUUUUAUUAUAAUUAUUCAGACUGGAGAGCAAGUGAUCCAUAUGGCUCAAGGUGCAGUUGAUGGAGUGAAGAACACACUUGGAAUUGGAUCAGACAAAAAGUGAAAAAGAGAAAAUGAAAUUAAUUAAUUAAUUAAUUAAUUAAUUAACACAUUUAUCAAUUUAUAUAUCUCAAUUUUAAUUAAUUUUUCAUUUAAUUCUAUGAUUUUCACAUAUGCUUUAGAUUAUUAAGCAUAAGUGAAAAAACAUAAUAUUAUUAGUUUGUGAGAUCUCUCACCAAAAGAAUUACAAAAUUUAAUUCUUAUAAAGUGAGAUGAUUUUCAUAGGUUUGGUUUAAUUAUUGUUUAACAAUUCCAUGCACCUUAUAUUGGUGUUAUAGUGAAUUUUGUUUUAUUGAUCGAGAUUUCUCUCGUUAGAAAUUCUCAUUAUAAGUACGUAAUAAGAAAGUUUUAUUUUGUUUUUGUUAAUUGAUAUUUUUUGUUAUUUGUUUUUGACUCGAUUUACUGAUUGAUGGUGGAGAUGCUCAACCACUUGAACAAGUCUCACUUAUUUCAGAAUUAAAUAAUACACUCACUUUUCUACUAUCCUUUUUCAUCUAAAUGCCAAACGUAUGUUGAGAAACAGAGUUUAAAUUCGUGACGUGUAUCUAAUCGACACAUCUUCUGCUGUACUCUUAUGAUAUUAUCAUUAUAUUGAGAUUUUUGACCGAAAGAAAAUUAUGAGAGACAAUUUAGUUUUAGCACGUUCAAUUUCUAUCACAAGAUUAAAUACCUAUAUUUGUUUGCAGGUAAUUUUUUAGAAAACCAUUAAUAAAUUGAAUUAAAACGAUUAUAAUAUUGAGAAUCCUUCAUAUAUUAUUAGAAUUUGCCUACGAUUUAUAAAUAACUAUAAACAAUGCAUCACCACCCUUUUCUAAUGUUGCUAUUAUUAUUUUUUCAUUAUGUGAUAUAUAUGAUAAUUUGUAAAAAAAACAAAAAAUCAUUAUAUAAUAAGUAGAUAUCGUUAUAUAAUAUACGAACAUAUGCAUCUUUUUAUUUAACUUUAUUACAAAUAUAAGUGUUUAUAUGUGGAUAUUUAAAAUUAAAAAAUGUAUAUAACGACUGAAGUAGAGUUAAAUAAUACGUUUAUUACUAUGCUGAUUCAAAAUAAAUAUAUUUUUAUAGGAAUUUUUUGUAAAAACCAAGAAAAUUGGAUACUCCAUAUGUUAGAUUAUAUGAAUUACUUAGAUAUUUUAUAUUUAGUAAUAAUUUAAUUUUAAAAUAUUUAGCUUAUCUUAAAUAAUAUAAUAUAUAGGUAAAGAAAUAUUUAUCAUUUGGUUUAGAUAAAAAAAUUUCUUUUUUUCUUCUUUUUAAGGGCCCGUUUGGCCAUAAAUUUUCCAAAUAAUAUUUGGAAAAAAUUUGGCAAAUAAUGUUUGUCCAUACAAUUUGCCAUUAUUUGGCAAAUAUUUUUGGGAAAUAUCCCAAAUUUCUAAAUACUAGUUUUUUCUAGUAUUUGGGCCAAAUCUCAUUAUUUGGGAUAUUUUAAAAAUUAAAAAUUUACCCCAAUCUUUUAUCUUUUACAAAAACACCCUCUCUAGUAGUUGUUUGCGUUGUAUUACAUCAUUUUUUACGUGAACACCAAAAUAGUGAUGAAAUAUGUAGUGAAUAUUAAAUAAUGAUAUGAUUGUUGAUGAAAAUUAUUAAAAAUUGGCUUUAGGUAACAAAGUCAUGUACUUUGUCUACUUCACGAUGUAUGAAAUAAUUCUUGUUGCACUCACUCCAAAUUACCACAUUGCUUUAGUGUCAUGGACAUUAUUUGUUAUUGUUGUAACGAACAUUCAUUGACUUGUAAUACAAACUUUUAGUUAGUUUUGAUAGUUUUUAAAACUUGUGUGUAUAAAUCAUAUUAUUCUAAAAAGGUGAAAUAUAUUUCCCAAAUUUUAUGGCCAAACACAUGGUGAAAUUUCACCCAAAUUUUCACUCAAAUAAUAUUUGCCAAGAAUGUUUGGAAAUAUAUGGCCAAACGCUAGCUAAAUUUCGUAUCAAAUCAAACUAACUCAUAUUAAAAUAAAAUCAAAAAAAAAAAAGAUAUCUGGAAGAAACUGGAUAGUUUCCCAUAAAAGAAAUAAUAAAAAAAUCUUCUCUUAGAUUCUUUUGCUUUAACACUGGACAAUUUUUUCUUUCCCAAAAUCUCCUCAAAUCAACCACUUAAUUACACCUUACUGCCACUUCAUCUUCACUCUCCUCCCAUGGCUACUCUGCAAACUCAUCUCCAGUUUCCCAUCUGUUCUUCACCAAGAUUGUUUCAUUUCAAGAACCCCAAUUCAGUUUCUUUCUCAAAAAAGCUUUUUUUCUCAAGAAAAGUUAAUGGGUUGUUUAGUUAUUCUAAAUUUGGUGCAAAAGAUUCAUUCUUUUGUUGUAGUCAAACUAGUGGUGAAAUUUUACCCCUUUCAUCAGCUCAGAAGGAGAAGGAGACUAGUGAAAGGCCUCCUUUUGAUAUCAAUUUGGCUGUCAUUCUUGCUGGUUUUGCUUUUGAAGCUUAUACUAGUCCUCCAGUAAAUUCUCAAUCUUUAUAUGUUCAUUUUUAUGUUUUUCUCUGCUCAGUUGGUUGGUUAUCAAACUUGUUGAGGGACUCAAUUUUUUACCCUGUAAGCCCCUACCUUAUUUUGAAAAUUGAAACAUUGAAAUAAUAAAUUGAAAAAUAGAUUCUGAUAGAUAAGGUCUUUCGGGUAUAGUCUCUCUACCUCUACGAGAUAGUGGUAAGGUCUGCAUGCAAGGGGAAAAUGAAAGUGCAUUCCUGUGCACCAGUUGAAAAAAGGAGCUUUGGAAGCUUACCUUAUUAUUAUAUUAAAAUGGGAAAUCUACCCUCCCGGACUCCUCUUGUGGGAUUUUGUUGUUGUUCAUUGUAUUCUGAUAGAGAAAAUGGUAUUGAGGUGUAGUUGAUUGGCUAAAAAAAUCAUAUCUUUUUUGUAAAUAAGAGUGUUGAUAGGUAUGUAGUUGUUCAUUUUUCUGUUUCUUUCUUUAUUAAUUAAUUGAAAAUGGACUUAAAUAGAGUGUAUGGAUAUUGAGGAUUCUUGUAGUAGAUAACUCCAACUAGCUUGGAAUUGAGGUGUAGUUGAUUGAUUGGCUAAAAGUUUCUCUCUUUUUUGUAAAUAAGAAUGUUAUGUAUGUAGCUGUUUAUUUUUCUGUUGCUUUUUUUUUAAUAAAUUGAAAAUGGACUCGAAUAGAGUAAAUGGAUAUUGAGGAUUCGUAUAGUGGACUCCAACUAGUUUGGGGUUGAGUUGGAGUUGAUUGAUCGACUGUUGAUUCAUUUUUUGUAUAUAAGCAUGAUGAUAUUAGCUGUGGAUUGGAGGAAUUGCUUGCCAAAGUAUCUUGCAUUGUGGGUUCUUUCGGUUUGGCAGUGUAGAAGUCAUAGCGGACAUGCUUGUAAAGUAUGAUUUUCUGCUGCCUUAAAGUUGUGAUCUUUGAGUGUCAGUAAUUCGUUUUCAUUCGUAUUAUUGUUUUGGCAUCUUAUCACUCUGUUGUGAUUCUAGUUUAGAAAUGAACAUAAAUGUGCUUCCCCUAUAGUAGUCAUACCCCACAUACUCAUGAUAGUAAAUGAAGGGAAUAUUUUCAUUAUAAACAUAUAUAAGGUGAUGAUCACUUGCCUAACUGGAUUUUCGUUGAACUAAAUUUUGCUUAGAAGUAAAUUAGGCUUGCAAGUAUUCUACAAAUCUAUAAAUGUUUAUGUAGCAAAUGGUAAUUAAGCAGUUGAAUUGUUUUCCAAGUCUGAUCCAAUUUGCUUUGUUUGACAUUGCUUGUCAGGACAAUGUCGGAAAGCUUGAGGUGGAUGCGGCUAAUUGCAAAACCAUAUUUCUUUCAGAGUAUGUAGUUGUUUUCUUUCUACUGAAAUAGUAAACUUAAACUGUAGGAACUUGAGUUAUAGGUUAAAUUGGUCGGAUCAAGUAAAGGGCACACGUAUGUUCCACUGGUGAAGGCUAUGAAGAGUGCUCAUAUCUGAUUGUUUUUGUCUCAUUCAGCUAGUGUGAUUUUCUUUUUCUUUUAAAUCAAAAUCAACUUAGACAAUAUUUCAGUUUGCCGAAAACUAGAUUCAUGCAUGUGCAACUGCAAAUGAGUUGGAUAUGCCUGUUUCAUUCGAAGGUAGUAGGAUUUGGCGUGGAUCAUGAUUGAUAAUUCUCUCUCAUAAUUGACAACCAUCUUCCAGGUCAUUUGUGCGUGAAAUUUAUGAUGGCCAGUUGUUCAUAAAGCUAAAGAAAGGUCUCAAUUUACCUGCUAUGGAUCUUUGGGUAAGGUUUCUACCAUUUAAUAUUAGCAAAUGAUCAAAUUUCAAUUGAAACGUGCCUUACUGUACUUUCCUUAUUCAAAUGAUUGCUUCUUAUGCAUUUAUUUAAUCUGCUGACUCCUGUUUUAAUUUAAUUGCCUACUCUAACCAAAUUUCAGGGAACGAGUGAUCCGUAUGUGGUGUUACAGCUAGAUAGUCAAGUUGUCAAAAGCAAGGUGAAAUGGGGGUAGGUAGUUGGUCAUGUGUUAAACUGCAACCUUCUACUCUUUUCAGUCAGAACUUCUCUAGAUCUUGUAGGUUUACUUAACAAUGAGUCAGGUUCGUUGCAUGUCGUCAACGUGUUCCUGUGCAAGUAUUGCUUGCAUAAGCCGAAUGAUAAAGUAACUAAUAUGAGAGUCUAUUAUGGUUACUAAAUUCAGUCUUCUCUUCUGUUUGAGCAACGUAUCAAAUUUUUAGCAAAAACUUAUUCUGGAUUUAGUAAAAUACAAUUAUUUUUCAUCCAUAACUCAUAUUCUAUUGUUAUCUUGAGUGUGAUUAUUCCACCAGUAUCUUAUUUGAAGUUCCAUGCUUCUUUAUCCUUUUAAUUUGUCAUCGAGAAGGCAAAAGGUCUACAAUUGCUAUUUUCUGUUGGAGAAUAAAGCUAUCCUUUUCUUUGUUCAAAUUAUGCACUAUUUCAAUCUUGAAACAUAAUCCAAUAACGGAAAAAAUGUUAAUUUCAUGAAUUAAUGUUUGCAGGACAAAAGAGCCAAUGUGGAAUGAGGAGUUUGCUUUAAAUAUUAAGCAGCCACCUCUGUAUGAUCUUCAGGUUGAUAACUUGAGUUAAUCCUUUCUCUCUAAUAGUUUAUUAAUUAAAGGAUAGCAUUCCAGAAACUGUAACAUUUUGCUUUUGAAAUACGACUUCAAUUUGCUGUAACUUAGCUCUUCCACAUUAGGAAGUUUACGACACGGUAUGUGGUACACCAAAUCUCCUAAUGAUAAAUGAGCAGUUCUGGUAAGAUAUGCAACUUGAAAAGCUUUAAGCUAACACUGCUAAAUUAACUGUCUUCUGACUGACUGCUAAUUCAAUUAUGAACGUGUAUGUGAACUUCCCAUAUCCAACAAUGUCUUUCUUGCUGAAUGCUAGUUUUUCAUUUCUACUUCCUGCUGAGAUCCAUAGUAUUAACCAAAUUGGAACAAACAGAAUCAGUCUUUUAAGGUUAUCGGCCUCGGACUAGAACUUACGGACUCGGAACUGCACAUCUUGCUUUAUGUUGUCUAAGAUAUCCAUAAGAGUCUGCUUCUGUCUUUUUAGCUGCAGUCUUUAAAAUGAGGAACAACUUAUUUUUUCGUUAUUUUUACCGUUAUCUGCUCAUUAGAGGACUUUCGGAUGCAGUAUGCUGGCAUGACAUGUUUUUAGGUGCUCUUAUUUCUCGAUUCCAGAUCUGAUGAAUUAUUCAUUACUACUGUCAGAUUGCAGCUUGGGAUGCAAAUCUGGUGACUCCACAUAAACGCAUGGGAAAUGCAGCAGUUAAUUUGGAACAUCUCUGUGAUGGUACGAGCUCAAGAAAUGGUUCUCGUGAUAUAUUGUGCUUCAAAUAAUUGUCUAGUUAUCAUGUUGGCUAAAAUUUCAUUCAUGUAAAUAAGGUUUGGCUUCCUUUCCAACUUAUCCCAUGAAAAUGGGGGAAGAAGUUAAGAGUUCAUUUUCAGUAUGCAUUUUGGUUGUGUUUUGAUGACUACGUUGAAGGUGUCUCAUUGCUCAUAAAACAAAUUGACAAAGGAAGAACACUUAAAGGAACCAAAUUAGUUUCAAUAGUUAUAUACUUCUGAAUACUGUCAUAACUGAUAUGAGAGCUGACAUAAGGAUUAGGCUGAUAUACAAACAUUGAUGUUUUAAUUUGUGAAAAUAACAAACAUGUGUUUUCUAGGAGAUUCUCAUAAACUGCUGGUUGAUUUGGAUGGAAUGGGCGGUGGUGGGAAGAUAGAGAUAGAGGUAAGUUGAUUUGAAUCUGGAGGCAUAUUCAAGGUUCAAGAUCGCUAAGACCUUCAUUUUACGAGGAUUUAUCAGACCAUCACAUUAUUUUGAUGUGUACACUCUAUAGCUGAUUAGUAUGCUAAUCUUAACUUCAGAAUAUCCUUCUUAAAUGAUACUCAAUUUGACCAUUGUUUAUCCAAUUCGAGAUUCCACUAAUUGUCCUACUAACAUGAUACAGAUUAAGUACAAGAGUUUUGAGAAAAUUGAAGAAGAAAAGAAGUGGUGGAACAUCCCAAUCAUUACAGAAUUUCUAAGAAAAAACGGGUUUGAGUCUGCUUUGAAGACAAUUCUUGGUUCCGAGACUGUUCAAGCUCGACAAUUUGUACAGUUUGCGUUUGGACAGAUGAAGCUACUUAAUGAUGCAUAUAAUGAUUCAAAUAGCAGCAGCAGUCCUGUCCUGGAAUCAGAUGUACUACCGGAGUCGCAGCAAUCAUCCAACUUGGAUGACUCAAGCAUGCCCCCAGCAUCAGAAAUCUCAAAUAAUUUGAAAGACACCAAAGUUGAUGGUGAAGUGAAGCUUAAUCGUGAUGGAAGUGACGUAACCGAUGAACAUGAUUCCCCUGGUACUAAAAUUUUAGAGAGCUUUCAAUCAGAUAAACAUUUCUGGAAGAAUUUUGCUGAUACCGUCAAUCAAAAAGUUGUUCAAAGACUUGGUCUCCCUGCUCCUGAGAAAAUAAAGUGGGAUAAUCUUGACUUGUUAAAUAAGAUUGGAUUGCAAUCACGAAAAGACGCGGAUGCAAGUUAUGUUGAAUCUGGUCUUGCAACUCCUGAUAAACGAGAAAAUGUUAAUGGUAGUGCAUCAACUGAAUCACCUAUUCUUAAUAACAUUCAGUCAUCACUUCCAGAUAUCAAGAAGGUGACACAAGACUUAUUGCGUCAAACUGAUACCAUUUUGGGAGCAUUGAUGGUUCUAAAUGCCACAGUUUCUCAAUUCAACAAAGGAGCAGGCCUUUUCGGAAAGGGUGAUGCUAAAGAAGAUUCUUCAACUGGACUGGAAAAUGACAUCCUUUUAUAUCCCAUGAAUAAAGAUGGAAUAGUGUUGGAUGAGAAGAAAGCUGAGGAGAUGAAGUCUCUUUUCUCAACAGCGGAGACUGCCAUGGAAGCUUGGGCACUGCUAGCUACUUCAUUGGGACAUCCGACAUUCAUCAAAUCUGAAUUUGACAAAUUAUGCUUCUUAGAUAAUGAGUCAACUGACACAGAGGCAAGUUCAUAUGUUGCUGGCUAUGAGUUCUUAGUUUCUAAUGUAUCUUAGAUCUGAUUCAUUUGAUCCAAGGAAAGCUAUUCUACUGAUUUUGGAUUCUGUAAGACUUGCAGGUAGCGCUCUGGCGUGAUUCAGCAAGGAAACGGUUAGUUGUUGCUUUCAGGGGAACAGAACAAGUAGGUUCCGGUGUUAAACACAUCUUUAAAACUUGUUGAUUUAGCUUAGUUGUGGAUAACCGGUUUUUCUUUUAUCCAGACAAAAUGGAAGGAUCUUGUGACGGACUUGAUGCUAGUUCCUGCAGGGUAAAAUCACAAAUCUGUACAAGCACAGGCUGGCUUUAGUUUUUCUUUCUUUCUCUACUUUGCCCUUCUGGUUUCUCUGUACUACUAAGAUGUUUUUCCUAUCACAGUAAACAGAUUCUCCUUCCGUUCAAUUUGUUUGUCUUACUUUCCUUUUUAAUCCGUUUCGAAGAGAAUGUCUCUUCCUUUUCUGAAAACUCUUUCAUUCUAACUUUCCACAUGACAUGUUUAAGACCACAAGAUUACAGUCAUUUUGGUACAUUCUACAUAUCAUAAUUUAAGACCACAGUAUUCAAAAGUCUUCUUUACUUUCUUAAACUCUGUGCCAAGUCAAAACCAGUCAAACAAAUCGAAACGGAGGGUGUAAUUUUUUCUUCUCUAAGUCUCUGAAAGUGUACUUUUAUUGAAAUACAACUCUUUACUAUGCUGAAAGAAACAUUUCCUUUUUCUUAGAGGAAUAGGAGUAGAAGAUAACCUUCCAUCCUACAUUAUUAAGUUUAGACUGCAAAUACCAUCAUAUCUAAAGGUUUUCCUGAAAAAAGUUUUAACUUCGAACAUAAUUUGAAACAACAAGAAAUAGCCAAACACUUUGGUAAUUUUGAAUAUGAAUUGUACGUUCUUGCAUCUUCAUUAUUCGGAUGUUGUACAGAAACUUUAGAUGGUUAAGCAACCACUGUCCAUUUUAUUUCGCAUCCUGAGUUGUCUCCUACUCUGCAGGUUGAAUCCUGAAAGGAUAGGCGGGGACUUCAAGGAAGAAGUUCAGGUGGCACUGAAAUUCUUACUUUUCUAUCUCUUAGUGCCUGAAAUAUGAAUGUAUUCUACUUAUAUUUAUAAUUUUUCUAAUUAUCAGAACCAGAGAUUAUUUUUGUAGGUUCACAGUGGUUUCCUAAGUGCAUAUGAUUCAGUUAGGAUUAGGCUCAUCUCGCUUAUCAAAAAAGCAAUUGGCUACCAGUAAGUGGACUGUUAAACAAAACUGUACAACAUUGUUCCUCCUUUCCUAUGUCUCUUUCGUACCUUCAAGUAGAAGUCGUGUCAAAUAUUUCUACAAGUCUAUACUAAGUGGACUCGUGUCAUGAGCUUAGUGUUACACUCCCAACUCUUAAAACUUGUUAUGCGCUUUUGCUUUACUGAGAUGUCUAGACCUGGCUUAGUCUUUUUUCUUCUGUUUAUCCUUCUUUUCGUGUGGGUCUUGUUGCUGCUACUGUACAUCUUAUUCUUUGCCUUCUUCGCGGUUUCUUCUUUUUCUCUGUUUAUGAUGUACUUACUUCACCACUAAACAUUGACGUCACAUCGCUUAUUACAAUUUUAAUGUAUUUUCCAGGGAUGAUGAUCUUGACACGCCAAACAAAUGGCAUGUUUACGUGACUGGCCAUAGUCUUGGUGGUGCAUUGGCUACUCUUCUCGCUCUUGAACUAUCAUCAAGUCAACUAGCUAAGUGAGCUCCUCCUUUUCUCUGCUUGUAUCUGUAGCUUGUUUCCCAUCCAUUCUAUAUAAUUUACCAUUUACCAGCAUCUCGCCAAUAGGGCAUGCAUGUUUGGUUUUCUGCUUUGUAUUUAACAUGUUUGUAGUGUUCUUUGAGAAUUUGAAAUGCCUUACUUGAGCAGAGGGUCUAUGGAAAACAACCUCUCUAUCUCUACGAGGUAGGGUAACGUUUGCAUACACUCUACCCUCCUUAGACCCCACCUGUGGACUGUUUUUUUUUUUUUUAAGAGCAGAAGUUGUAGAAUUGUUGGUAGAAUCCUAUCAAAUGUAGUUUCGAUGCUAGUUACGUAAAUAAACCUAACCAUGGACUUGUAUUCCAGUCUUAUAUCUAUACUGAUCAGUAUUUGAAUGUGUGACAUUUUGUACCCAAAACUAAUGUGCUACCAAGCUGCAGCACAUCCCUUCAAUUGUUCCAUGUUGCCACUUUGAUAUCUUCUCUUGAUGGUUUCAUCCUUUUGACCAAAUUGGACUUGUAGGUCCCCAAGUAUUGUGAUUGCUAAGUUGCUUGCUGCUUGUUCCAUCAUAAUAGAACAUCUUGCAAAUUAAGGAGUUAGUGCAAAAAGAACGUCUGCAAUUGUUAAAUACAAAUUUUCGGGCUGCCCUUGUUCUUGAAGUACUUGUGGAGAAAAACCAAGUCCUCCAUCUCUAAUCAUGCUAACACUACAUACGUGACCGUCUUAUCUUUCUUGUUGGUUGUGUUAGGCGUGGAGCUAUACGUGUGACCAUGUACAACUUUGGAUCUCCAAGAGUUGGAAACAAAAAGUUUGCUGAAGUUUAUAAUGAGGUAUUAUUUACUCUCUGCAGAAGUGAAGUGCUUAUGUUGAGACUAACUAUAUUCUAUAGCCAUUUUGGUCUCACCAUUCAUUUAUGACAAUCUUUUGUAGUUAUAAAUUAAACGAUCUUUAUUUCUGAAACAAGUUAACAAAGGCAAAAUAACAAACAAGAACCAAGAAAAGAAAGAAUAUACCGACACACUAAUAAAUACAUACAAGCUGGUUCACAUACUCAGCCUUACCUAAUUAGCUCUCCUCAAUAACACUGGAUGAAAAUGAUUUUUGAUGUUCUCUCUCGGUCUCUCCUAUGGAGGUGGCUUGUCAUAAAUGAAGUGUGAAACUCUUGAACAUGCUAUUGAAUAUGCAUUGGUGCGUUGUCUAACAUGUCAGACCAACUUUUAGCAAGUUUGAGCCAUAAUCAGAUGCCUUAUCACAUUGUUUGCCGAUAGUUCAUGGGAAUUUCUUGCCUGUUCUUCUAUUGUGACGUGGUGAACGGCUGUAACUAAAUCACUUUCGCCUGCUUUGGAAUCAUACUGAGAGCUUAAUUUUGUUAAAUUCUGAGUGACUCUAUAUAAUUAAGUUGCUUCUUAUAUUGUAGAAAGUUAAGGACAGCUGGAGGGUUGUAAAUCACAGAGAUAUAAUACCAACAGUUCCUCGCUUGAUGGGCUACUGCCAUGUUGCUCAACCUGUUUAUUUGGCAGCUGGAGAUCCGCAAAACACAAUGGUGAGUAGAUUUCAUUUUCUCACUUUUUACACUAUAAAACGUUGGAUUGGCAGAAUGUUGGCACUGUUAAGGAAGUUGUGUUUUCCCGUUAGAGAUUAAAGUGGAAAAAUGUGUCGGAUGGUUAGCUUAACCUGAAGGAAAUCACAGAAGGUUCAAAACAAUUGACCUUUGUUAUUUCUUCUAUAAAACUAUUAACUCAAUUGCUCGAAGUAACUUUUUGAUAUUUUCUUCAUAGUGUAGGUAGAAAGUAUCAAGAAGUACUAUGUCAUUCUUACUUAUUAUGUAUGGGAACCUACUAUCGUUACCUCCCUGGAAAAAGUCGGAAAGAAAAUAUGAUCAUUUUUUACAUCAUUCCUUUUAUACGUGAAAGGAGCUUGUUGUUUAACUAUAUAUGUCUCGGCACAUCACAUUUCAGGAUAAUGUGGAACUCUUGGAAGAUGGUUACCAAGGUGAUGUUAUCGGAGAGGCCACACCUGAUGUUAUUGUCAGUGAAUUUGUAUGUUUCUCCACCUUUGUUCUCCUGUAUCUUUAGUUCCUUCGUUUUGGUUCUGUGCUCCAUUUCAUCCAUUCGUGAUUUGUUCUAUUAAGAUCUUCAACUGUUAAAAUUGUACUGCUACUUACCGUACAUUUGACCAAUUGAGACUUCUGUUUAUUCAUUUUGUUCAAUACUUCGCCUAAUGGAGAGUCUCCUUGAGGCAUAAGCUUAUCAAUUCACUCCAUUAGGUUGAAGCCAUGUUGCUCGGAGUUUUGUGUUGGAUCCUUCAAAAGCUAUGCAUUGUUAGGGGAUCCGAGACAGGUUUGGCAACAUUUUUGGGAGGUCCGAGCAAGAAUUGCGGGAGGGGAGCUUGUUCUGAGUUAUUUUUGCUAUAUGGAACACAUUUCCUUUUUAUUUAAAGGUAAAGAACUCUUGAUAAUCUCGCGAUUACUUAUCGUAACGUUUUGUGCAGAUGAAAGGUGAAAAGAACUUAUUGAGAAAAUACUGAACACAGAGAUUAACAUAUUUCUAGCAAUUAGAGAUGGAAGUGCACUUAUGCAGCACAUGGAAGACUUCUAUUACAUCACUCUAUUAGAGGUAUUACCAUUCUUGUAGCUAUGUUGCUCGAACUCGUCAAAAAUGUCGACACGUACAUGUCAAAUCCUCCAAAAGUAGUGGACUUUUGAGUAUCCGACAUGUGUGCUGCAACAUUUUUGAAGAGUUUGAGUAACAUACGUAUCCAACAUGAUAUGUACUUAAACAUUUUUUUUUCUUUAAUGUUUUUCUAAUUCUUUUUUCCAGAAUGUGAGAUCAAACUACAGAACUGUUCCAAGGCCACAACUGACAGAAGAGAAGAACAUAUCGAUUGGCUAAAAUGGAAAUUAUCCAAAUUCAUUAAUGUUGAUGUUUUAAUUUCCAAAGGUUGUAAAUAACAAUAACACCAAAAAAUUGGCUACAUUUAUUGUAUAUAUGUACUGAUUUUUAUCUAUGUCAAUUGUACAUUUCUUUGGUCAUUUAUGUUAAUUGUUACAAAAUUUUAAAUGAUAGAAUAAUGAGAACAAGUAAUUGUUCUAAAAUAAUUGUCUUGAACUAAAAAUAGAAGGAAAAAAAAAUACACUUCACAAACAAUAAAGAAAUGGCAUGAAAGAAACAUACAAUCUAGAGAACCACCACUUCUUCUAUAUUUUACUAACCAAUAGUAUCAUUACUACCUAGAUCUUUGACAGAUAAAAUCGUUCGAUCAUUAAUCAGAGGUUUCGAGAUUUAAACUAUGAGUAUAGUGAAUAUCUCGAUAAGGAGUUCUAGUUUCACUUAAUGUUGAAUUAAAAAAAAAAAAACUAAUACUACCUUUUACAUAUGCAAGCUUUUUGAAAGAUUCUUAGAAAAAUUUGUUGCUUUCAUAUUAUAGCUCAUGAUUUUCAAACUUUGCCUUAAAAUGUCAACUUCCCUUUCCCUCUUGAGCUCUUGUUGUUCCUUUGAAGCUAUUUCCUCUUUUAGAAGUGCAAUUUUUUCCUCUUUUUCUUUCAACUCUUUAUGCAUCUCCUCUAAUAAUUCCAUUUGUUCUAUUUUCCAACAUAGUCCUCUUCCUAGUCAAACAAGAUCAAAACACAUUAGAAGGACAAAACAAGACGACUUGUAGACAUAACAACUGUUCGUUGAGUGACUAAUCUGAUGAAAUUCAAACGUACCUUGAUUUGUCCUAUGAAUAAGUUCAUCAAGCUCAAUCUUGAUAGCAAAAUAAAGUUGUUUCCACUUCUCUAUUGCUUCAUCUCUUCUAGCUUCUUCAUUCCUAAUUUGCUCCAACAAAUAACUUGUUGCUAAUUCAUGCCACUCUUUAUCUUCUUUUACACACAAAUUCUCUAUAGCUUUACACUUGUCUUCUUCAUCUUUUUCUUCCAAGUUUUUCUUCAACUUCUUCACUUCCUCUUUUAGCUUCUUCUUUUCCUUCUUCCAUUCUGCUUCUUUCAAUGCAAAUAUGAUCAUCUCUUGUGCAUUGACUUGACUCUCAUAUUCCCUCAUACACAUAAUUUCAUUCACCUCACCUUGAAGAAACCUUACAUUGUAUUUCAACACUUCAACCACUUUGUCUUUUGGUUGGCUUUUGUCCUUGGUUUGAAAACUUCCCAUUUCUUAUAAUCCCUAAAAGUCUCCUAUACUUUUAGUAGUUCUAGUUUUGUGUAUAUAUAGAUAGUGUGUGUGUGUGUUGGGGGGAGUGUUGUAAGAUGUAUGUGUGAUAAAUUAGUCACAAAUCUUAGGUAAGGAAACUUCUUUUUUCAAAAUUAGGUGGAGUCUUGUAAAAUUCGAAGACUGAAACACGAUACAAGUAAAAGUCUGAUAUUUAAGUGAAGUAUAUAAAGCGCGAUCGACUCUAGGAGAUUUCUAUAUUAUCAAAAAAAAUACAAACACUUGGUACAAUACAUUAACAAAAAUGCAUUAAAGGGUAUGUUAGAUCAAUAAGAAUAGAGUAUGGGACAACAUGAUUAUUAUUUUUUUUUAUGAAAAAAGGAGGCUCCUACCAUGCAAUAUGAAGUGAUGGCACUAAAUGAUACAAAGAGAGUUUUGUACUGAUUUUUGUUUUGUGGCUCUUGCAUCAAUUCAAUUAUUAUUAAUAUACAUACUGUGAAAGAUGCCUUGUAUGAAAAAAACAAAUAAAUUAGAGAAGUCACAUUUCAAGAUAUUGACAUGAAUGAAUGACAUAAUGUGUCUAUUGGGGAAUAAAAUCCACAUAUUCCAAAAAAUCACAUGUACAUCAUUUUGGAGCCUCUUCAUCAAGGUGGGGGUGGGGUGGGGUGAUUGGGUGGGUGGGGGCUUCAUUUAAAAUUUAAAAGGAAUUUAAGUUAUACGCGCUAUCGCAAUAAUCACUUAUAACAGGUUAUUCUUUUAUUUUUUGAAUUAUAGUAUUAUGCGUGAUUAAAGAUUUAAAACUUAUAUAUCAUCUAUCGACGAAAUUAUACAUUUCGAAAUUUACCAAAUAAAAUCUAGGUUUUAAAAAAAGUUGUGUGGGGGGUAGUAUGGGGGAAGAGUUUUGGAGCCUCUUGAUAAUCGAAUUUAAGUUAUAUACAUUAUCGCGAUAAUCACAAUAUUAUACUUAAUCAUAGAUUUAAAACUUAUAAACUAACAGUGUAUCGAAGUUAUACGUUUCUUAAAUUUACCUAUUUUUAAAUAUGUUGUGGGGGUGGGGUGGGGGAGGGGUAGCAUGGGGAAAGAGUUAUUGUAUUAUACAUCAAAUUUUUGUACAUAUUUUGCCAGCUAUUAAAGGGGCCUGCAAUCUUUGCUGAAAACAUGGGAAACAUUAUUGACAAAAGAAUAUUUCUUUGAAUAUUAUGCCUUUGUAUUCAUCUCAAACUUUGACCACCAGAUGGAGCAUGGAUUUAACUAGUUCAGUAUUUUCGAUACGAAAUAUAAAUAAUAAAGUCCGAAGCAAAGACAGAUGACAAUUAUUACACGGUAAAAUUUAGCAAGUUAUGAAAAAUUAAUAUAAGCUUCUUAUAAAAUAGAAUAGGAAUAAUAAGAAUUAAUCAACAGAUCGUGUGUCGAUGAGAUUAAGUAUCGUUCUAUUAUUUCAGACAUAAUUUAUUGUAUUUUCACUGUAGUUGGGAUCUAUAAUCUUGCAAAGAAUGACCCCUUUCCUUUUCUGGCAAUAAUUUAAUUUUAACUUUUCACGUGGCAUGUUUAAGACCACAAGAUUAAAGGACAUUUUGUUACAUUCGAUGAAAUUUUAAUUCAGAACCACAAGAUUAAAAAAUUCUUCUUUCUUUUCUUAAACUUUGUUCCAAGUCAAAUUAGAUAUAUCAUUUUUUAAACGCGGGAAGUAUUUGAUAAAUGAUCAAAUAAUAAUUAAAGUAUUGGAUGUACUAUUGGUCUUGGAAUAUUUUAUUUAUUAACUAGGCAAUUCUUCAACAUUUAGGUAUUUCUAGGUAGAGAAAAAAAAUGUAAUUUUAUGUACCAAAAACAAAAGACUUUUGUCAAGUCAAAUCAUCAAAUUUUGUUUUAGCGUUGUUUAAAUGAGAAAAAAAAGAGAAAAUAAAAUAAAAAAUCAUUUAGUUUGUGUCUAAUUUUUUACGUAGUAAAAAAUCUAGUUUUUUAUUUGCAUCUAUAUUAUUUUUACAAAGAAAAUAAAGUCUUUAACUUAUUUAAAACGUGGCUCAAAAAUAAAAAUUGACAUGCAUUUCUUUGACUUUGUUAGAAUAUAUAUUAUUUUUUUUAUACAAAAACGAAUACAAAUGUCUUAUUUAUGAAAUUUUUGUUUUUAUUUUCCCUUUCUAGUAGGGGAAAUUCAUCAAUUUUGGUGUUUUUUUAAUUAACAGAAAUCUAAAUUGUUUAUUUAAUAUGCCAAGUUAUAUUUGCUUUAAAAUUGUUUAAUUGUUUCCCCCUUUUAUUAUAAGUAUAUAAAAGAAUUUCAAUUGGACACUUUUAAUUUAAAUUUCAAAUUCUUUUUACAUAUGUUUUUAUUUAUCUAUUAGUAAUUUAAGUUUAUCAUAUAAAAUAUUUCAUCUCUUUAGUUCAUCAAUCUUAAGUAAAAAAUGUUUGAAAUUUUAGGACUUAUCAAAGCGAACACAACAUAAUUACAUGAGACAAGUAUCAAAAACAACCUUGUACUUGACUAACUAAACUCAGAUACACCCCCGAUACACUCUCAAUACGUGAAAUAACAUGUGUCUCAAACCCUUUUAGGAGCAUGAAAUUCUUAAUAAAAGUCGAGAGAAGUGUUGAAAAUACUCCUAAACUUGACGAGAAUUUAGGGGUUCUCACUGAUGUUACAAGUUCGGGGAUGUAUUUAACUUCAAUUAGUCAAGUAAUAAAGGGGUGUUUUAAAGGUUUUCAAUAGUUCAAGGAUGAAACUAAUAAUUUGUGCCAAGUUCAAGAGUGCUUUUGACACUUCUAUCUAAUUAGUUCAACGCAUAUACGUAAAACUACUAGAUAAAUAAGAACAAACACACAGAAAAAAAUUCAAAAUUUAACUGAAAAUGUUCUAUCACUGUGUUUUUAUUAAGAAACAGAAGUGUUCAAUUUAAACAAAACUUAAAUUUAAGUCAUUUAAUUACAAUUAACCAAUAAUAAUUAUUUAGUACAUAUCAUAUUAUUAUAUAUUUAUUGAUAUGAUGUAAAUAUCUCGUCAUAUUUUAUUGUAUUAAUUUUUUUAAAAAAAUCAUUAAGGUUUUAUUUUUUUUUCACCAAGUGAAAAUGACUAUUUUACCCUCUUUAUACAUAUCUUUGUUUUGGUAAAACUCCUUCCCCAUAUCUUCAGGAACAUUCUUAGUUAUCUGCCUCGGAACCUCCGAAUUUUAUAAUCUUAUAGGUAGAAGUGAAGAAAAAAUCAGUAAAAAUUCUGAGAAUUUGAGGUAAUUUUUUAUUGUGAUUAUAUAUGAUUUCCUGAACUUUUUUUUAUUGAUUUUUUGUUUAUUUUCUUGUGCCAUUUUGGUGUAAUUUGUCAAUUUUAUGUAGAGUUUUGCUAUAUUUGAUGUUCUUUGUCUGUGUUAGGCUAAAGGGGGUUCUUGAAAAAUGAAAAGAAGAAUAAAGUUUGAAUCUUUUCAUUUGAUUAUUCAAUUGAAGGCUGUAUUUACCACAAAGAAAGUUAAUUUAUUUAAGGGGUUAGCUUGAUUUGUGAUUUCUUCCAAUGUGUUCAAGCUUUGGUGGAUAGGGUUACUUGGUACCUAUAUUGGUGGGAGGUAGUAAGUAGCGGGGGAAUUAAUCGAGGUGCGUGCGAGCUGGUUCAGACACCACAAAGAAAGUUAAUUUAUUUAAGGCAAUGUGUCUAAGCUUUGUUUGGUGGAUACUGAAUAGGGUUACCUGGUACCAAUGAUGGUGGGAGGUAGAAGGCACCUGUGGAACUAAUCGAGGUGUGUGCAAGCUGGUCCAGACACCACAAAGAAAGUUAAUUUAUUUAAGGCAAUGUGUCCAAGCUUUGUUUGGUGGAUAGGGUUACCUUGUAAGGAUGCUGGUAGUAGGGUACCCGAGGAAUUAGUCGGUUGCAUGCAAGUUGGCGUAGACAUCACGAUAUUUAAAAAAGAAAGAGGAUAUCCCAUUCCUAGCAGCCUUAACAGUUGACUGUGGCAGAAUUCUCUCUCUGCUGUUGGUCCUUUUAGGAUUUCUGCAGAACUGUUCAAUUACACUUCGAGGUAUCUCACGCGAAAUGUUAGGACGUAUGUGUCUAGUUGUUUCAACUUUAUACAAUCAGGUGCAUACCCAAAGUUGGAAGGCAUAGAUGUUAGCUGAUGCCAAGUUAAAGGGAAACGUUUAUUUAUUAUGUCUAAUAUGAAUGAUACAGUGAAUACUUACACUUUUCCUGUCAUCAAUCUUUCAAAAUCGCUGAUGCUGUAUUUUUCCUGUCUUUUCUGCUGAGCUGAAUAGUUGGCUUAUAUGUUUUACUGGUGUUCCGUGCAUAUGAGAUGAUUUAGUACAGUUGUUUGCGAAUGUAAACAUUUCAAAACGUGUCUUCUAUAGCUUGAUUUGGAUAAUAAAUGUAUGAACUUGGAUGCAUUGUUUGUUAAACAACUUAUUUGACUAUUUUUCUUUGUUAGGCUCAAACUCCUUUUCGAUGAUUUUACACUAGUCGGAAAUUUCUUUCUUUUUCCCUGGUUUAGGGGGUCGUGAAGCAAUGAACUCCCUUUUCUUUUAAUUUUUUCGACAAAUCUUAUUAACAACCGAAAAAUAGACUUUGCUGGUUUCUAAGAGUGAAGUUUUAAAGUGUCCAUUUGGGGACAUCCGAUGAAAUUGGAACAAUAAGAGUAAAUGCUUAAGUAGAUCAUUAUAUACUGUGUUUGGUAGAGAGUGUUCACAACAUGUUUUAGAAUGUAGAAUAAGUGCGACACUAAGUAACCCGUUGUUCAUCUAUUCGUUGUGGUUUGCAAUAAAUAUUCAUCGAUUAUCAGUGUAAAAAACUCCUGAAUUUCCUCCCAUGUAUGUUCUAAAAUCGUGUCUUACAAUGCAUAGAAGAAAUUAAUGUCAGCGAUCCUUUUUGCAGUCGGUGAAAUGGCAGCAGCAUCAGCAACUACUCUCUCAGUUGGUUCCGCCACAUCCUUUGGCUCCAUAGUGAGCCCAAAAUUACAAUCAAAGGCCUUUAUUGCGAAAUGCAAUACCAGGGACUACCUUAGGAGUUUCAGUGGCCUUAAGGCAGAGGCAUUUGUACGAUGUGAAUCCGAGUCGUCAUUUCUAGGAAAUGAAAGCAUUGCAGCUCUUCGACAAUCCAUUACUCCUAAAGCCCGAAACCAAAAGCAGAGAUCUUCGAACCAUGUUCAGCCUCAAGCAUCUUAUAAAGUGGCUGUUCUCGGAGCCUCUGGCGGUAUAGGCCAGCCUCUAGCUCUUCUGAUUAAGAUGUCACCGCUAGUAUCAUCGUUGCACCUUUAUGAUAUUGCAAAUGUCAAAGGAGUCGCAGCAGAUCUCAGCCAUUGCAACACUCCCGCUCAGGUUUUUGACUUUACGGGAGCUUCUGAGUUGGCCAAUUCUUUGAAAGGUAUAGAUGUAGUUGUCAUACCAGCUGGCGUUCCGAGAAAGCCUGGUAUGACACGGGACGACUUGUUCAACAUAAAUGCUAAUAUUGUGAAAAGCUUGGUUGAGGCUGUUGCUGACAAUUGCCCAGAUGCCUUUAUCCACAUUAUCAGCAAUCCAGUCAACUCCACAGUGCCGAUUGCUGCCGAGGUUCUGAAGCAAAAGGGUGUGUAUGAUCCUAAAAAACUCUUUGGUGUUACCACCCUGGACGUUGUCAGAGCAAACACAUUCGUCGCGCAGAAGAAAAACCUGAAACUCAUUGACGUUGACGUCCCCGUGAUUGGUGGGCAUGCAGGGAUAACAAUUCUGCCAUUGCUGUCAAAGACAAGACCAUCAACUACUUUCACGGACGAAGAAGUGCAGGAACUAACCGUGAGGAUCCAAAACGCUGGGACCGAGGUCGUUGAAGCAAAGGCUGGAGCAGGAUCUGCAACACUGUCAAUGGCAUAUGCUGCAGCUAGAUUUGUUGAAUCCUCACUUCGUGCCCUUGACGGUGAUGCUGAUGUUUACGAGUGUUCUUACGUUCAAUCUGACCUGACGGAACUUCCAUUCUUUGCAUCACGAGUUAAACUAGGAAGGAAUGGAAUCGAGGCAUUGAUUUCGUCUGAUCUCCGUGGAUUAACUGAGUAUGAACAGAAGGCAUUAGAAGCUCUAAAGAUAGAGUUGAAAGCUAGCAUUGAGAAAGGGAUAGCUUAUGCUCAAAAACAAACAGUGAGUGCUUAGAGAAAGAGUUUAGUUUAGAUUAACUAUAGGAAAAGAUUCUCAACAUGACAAUUUUUGCAUGGUUUGAACUUACUAAGCCCUUUAUUCUUUUUAUUGGUCUGAACUCUACUAGUGUUUUGUUAUUGCUUCCUUUUCAUCUCUAGUCGAGGUUUAUCAGAAACAAUCUCUCUACCCCUGUGAGGUUAGGGAGAAGGUGUUCGAGAACUCUAUUCAAGGUUUAUCAGAAACAAUCUCUCUAUCCCUGUGAGGUUAGGGAGAAGGUGUUCGAGAAAGCACCGACUACAGGUGCUCAUUGAGUCGGUCCUCCGGUGGAUAAAAGUAUCUGCAAACACUUUACCCUCUUCAGACUUUUUCGACUUUAAAAUUUCAUAUAUGAAAGUCUAGAAUAGUUAUUGGUGGCUAUUUUUGAAAAAAAUAAUAAUCUAGAAUAGAAGUGGAUGAUUAAAUUUUUUCCCCCCAAAAAUCUCCUUAAAAUUUAAUAGAUAAAAGUUGUUAACAUGUCAUAUAAAUGGAGAUAAAUUAAAAAUGCUAAAUUUUUUAAUAUUUAAUAAAUCAAAAUCACUCAAAAGCAUAUUUAAGGAAUUAUUUUAAAUCUACUCGAGUCUCCAAUAUAAGUUAUUUCUUUUGUCAUAUUGUCUAGAAAAUUUGUAUGUCCAUUUUAUCUCAAGUGUUUCGUAUAUUCACAUUUUUUGGAGGUCUAUGUAUUUGGUUCAGAUUGUGAAUCGGACUUUCUUAUUCAUGAUUUUGAUAAUUAAACACUUAAACUCGAUGAACCCAACAUAUUAAACUCCUCUAUGAGAGUAUGACCAAGAAAGAUAUGACUCGCUUGCCAGUUAUACAAAUAUAUGCGUAUACCAUUUACAUAUAUACUAUAAUCCGACAGAUAUACAUAUACAAUUUGUCUCUCCACUCUCUGCCUAGUCUCGCUCAUCUCUCUCCUCCCUCUCCCAAUCUCGAUCGCUAAAUACACAUAUAUAUAAUCUGACAGUUAUACAUAGACAAUUUGUCUCUCCACUUUCUGCCCUCUCUCAUUCGUCUCUCUCCCAAUCUCGUUUGUCUGAUAUACAAAUAUAUAUGUAUAUCAAUUACAUAUAUACAAUUAUUUGAUAGAUAUACAUAUACAAUUCACAUUUCUUCACUUUCUGCCCUCGCUCGCUCUCUCCUCCCUUUUACAUGGAGAUAUAGUUUAUAAUUAAAAAAUUAUAGCUGUGAAGCAUAAUUUAAGUUAUUUUUAAAUGACUAUAUACAAAAAUUCCCCAUAUUGUGUUAUAUAAUAAAUUCUCGUUGUUUACUUCUGUGAGAACAUCCAAUGCACUCAAGACAAUCCUAUAAGAUAAAUCCAACUCUAAAUACAAAAGGACUAUUAAAAAUAAAAAAUACUUUCACCAUAAUAUUUUAAGUUUGUUUGUAGUAAAUUAAAUGUUGAAUUAUAAUUUACUAAGGAUAAACUAUAUAACUACACAUACAUCACUACCAUAUAUACUAUAUUUUAUCUCUAAUUUAAAAUAAUUACUCAUACUAUCACUUUUAAUAUUUAUACAAUAUAUUUUAAAAGAUUUAAUUAAAUACACAAAACCCUUAAAUAAAGAAAAUGAAUAAUUAUCUUAAAUCUAAACUCCUUAGGGUUCAUAAUGUUUUUGAAGUUCAAUUUUAAUUUUUUUUUUUUACAAAUUAGGUUUUAUAUUUUUUGAUUUUGUUGUUUCUCAAACACUUUAAUGGUUGAACAUCUUGAAAUCGGAUGGUUCGUUAAAUGUAUCACACACUAACAAUAUUAUGCUAAAUCAAAUAACUUUUAUUUAUUCAUUUUCACUCAUGAAUUUAUUAUUGCAGGGACCGACUCUUCAUACGCCAACAUUCACAUCGAGAAUAGACCUACGUAUAGAAGCAACUCCAUCAAGAUGAUAGAAUUAUGCCAAGUUUUAAUUAACAAAAAAAUAAAAUACACCAUUAGAUGCACACUCAAGUGUAACGAUGUUGGAUACACAUUAUGUUUACAUGUAUCUAGUGAGAGUUCAUGUAUAUAAAAAAAAAAAUUCAGAUCCUUAAAGAAAAAAGAGAAUUUUGAAAAUUUCAAACUUUUUUUGGAUUAAUGAUAAGGCCACAGUUGUGAUUUGUUCCUAAUUCGUGUGUUUCAACUACAUUUCAUAUUUAGAUACACAUAAUUAUAUGUGUGUUUACAAUGUAUUUGAGAUACAUGAUUUUAAAUAUAAUAUAUGAAAUUAAUGCUUGGUACAUCGAAUUAAUAAUAGAUACAUAUAAAAUAUACAUGAAAUUAAAUUUGGAUUCAUACUACACAUAUAAUAAAUACAUAAAAUUAGUAUUAGAUACUUCCUUCUAUGAUAAUUGAUACAUAUGAAAGCACUUGUAUGAUACUCAUAGAUCUUGUUGUUUUGUUUGUUGGAUACAUCAUAUAUUUAUUGUUUUGUUUGUUGGAUACAUCAUAUAAUGAUAUAGAUAUAUCAAGUUGAUAAAUUUUAUUAUUUGAAGAGUAAUAAAAUGAAAUUAAUCAAUUUUCAACAAGAAUCAAAAUAUGCAUGUUUUUGUCUUUUAUUAAUAAUAUCAACGAAUUUAUUAUUUCAAAUAAUAAGAAAAUGAAAUUAAUUAAAUAUAGAUACACUCUUUAGAUUUUCGACGUAUAAUAACAAACACAACACACACAAACCACGAAACUCACCAUAUUCUCUAAUACUCAUGAUGAAGCAUAGUGUAUCCCUAAAUCGCUUGCAACUAGCCUGGAUAUCAUUAGCCAGCAAAAAAUAGUAUUAUUGCUAGUAAUGGGCCUUAACAUCAUUAGCCAGCAAAAAAUAGUAUUAUUGAAUCCAUGACAAUAAAUGGUAUUACUGAAUUCAAUGUCACAAUGCCGUGAAACAAUAAAGCAACCAUAAAUCAUAGAGCGUGUUCUUUCCGUGUCUACGACAUGCAUGCCGAAAUUUUGCUUUAUUUACUUGUGUUUGAUGAAAGUCCCACAUUCUACCUUAUACCUAGAGUAUAAAUUGAACAGAAAAAGGUAAGUUUAACCCUCCAUCCAUUUUUCGCCCUCUCUAUUUUUACUUUUUGGUUAAAAAAUUCUUCUUCUAGUCUAAAUAUACUAUCAAGGUCUAUGUUGAUAUAUAUUUUUGUAAUUUAUUUUGUUUUAACACUUAUUAAUUUUUUGUUAAGCGUUGUUGGUAGUUAUUGGUGUUUAUUUUUGAAAAAAGUUUCGCUCUCUAUAAUAUUAAUCAAAUUUUUAAGUUUUAAUAUGAUACUUGUAUUAUUUAGGGUAAAGAGGAGGUACUAUAUUUAUAUUCUCUUUGUGCGAAUUGGAUGAGCUAAAGUGUCAUAAAUUCAAGAAGCAAAAAACUAUGCAUACAAUAAAUAAUUGAAUUAAAUAUUUUGCAAAAAAACUAAAACAUUUUAAGUAUAAUUUUAUAUUAUUAUAUAUGUUUUGUAUUUAACUAUUAUGUGUGAUUAUUUAUUCCAAAAAUCAUGUUAUUAGUUGUUUAUUUCAGAUUAGAUGGUUAUAAUAUUUUUAUACCAUUAAAAUGUUGUUCACUAAUUAUAUGAUCCGUUUCUUAAGUUAAGUUGGUUUGUGUUUUUCAAAUAAAUAUACGUAAUAGGUAUUAAUUAUAUGAUUAAAUAUUAAAGAAAAAUAAAAUUAAUUAUAUUAUGUAUUUCACGGCCUAAACCAAUGCAAAACUAUACCAUAAAAAUUCAAUAUUAUUUUCAUUUCUAAUAUUAGAAUUGAUUCUUUUGUUAAUAUGAAAUCACAUUUGUUAUUAACACCUUCUUCGGACUUUUAUUUAUUCUUACUCGUAUAUUAUUGCGUAAUAUUGUUUAAAUUCAUCGUUAAUUAAUAAGAGAAAGUCCUAUUUUAUAUAAUAGUUGUUCGUUUGAUUAUAUAUUUUUCUUAUUUUUUCUUUACUUAUUAUUUAAUAAUCAUAUUUUAUCCUUUACUUUACCUUAUUAUAGUAGCUCUAUUUUUAUCCAACAUUUUCUCUUAGAUUUAUCAUUCAAAUUAUAAAUAUUUGACGUUGUUUAACGACUUAGAAAGAUACCAUCUAUUCAAAUAUUGUACUUACUAAAAUACAGUGUAUCAUACAACACAACAUACAUUAUCAAACAUAUGUAACAACUAUUAAGUAUAAUAAUUUAUGAAAAAAUUAUUUAAAUACACAACUUAUUUUAUCAAAUUUUCUAAAAUUCUCUUAUCAUUUGAAAAAAAUUGUAAAAAAUCAUAUUCUCGGGUACAUCACUUUACAAGAUAUGUAUCGAGACGUUCUGUGAUGUAUUCAAAAUCUAGACGCGAUAUAUCGGGACGUUGAGGAAUGUAUUCGAAAUAAUUAAGACGUGAUAUAUUGGGACGCAUCCGGAUUCCACCAAAUUCAAAAGGGAAAAAAAGAUAAAUAUACCUCUGAACUAUCAUAAAUGACAUGCAGAUACUCUGUCAUACUUUUUGGAAAUUGAUGCUCUUGUCAUUCAAAAACUGGAGUACAUAUACCAUUUAUACUAACGAACAUACACGUUUCAUAAUCUUAUUUAUACACCGACCCGACAUUUAUUAAAUAUCAGCUUGAUAGAUAACAUUGUGACACAUGUCCCUAUUUAGUCUUUCGUUAGAGUGAAGGGUAUACAUGCUCCAAUU